rnacentral:lncRNA from 1 species
AUGGCUUCUGGAGUCUUCUAGAUGGUAGAAAAUUGUGCGGCACAUUAAUAUCUCUAUGUAAACCCAACGUGUGGGCCUUUCUUCCAUAUUUCCUGAUAACCCCCUGCAGAAAUAGACAAACACCAAAACUCGUGGAAUUCUGUCAGAUAAAACCCUAAGUCUAGGUGUUGGUUGCAUAUGGAUCCUGUUCCAUGAUUAGUUGAUGGUUAAAUGUGUGCAUUAAGGACCGUCAACAGUGGUCAAGCUGUGUAGACCCUUAGGAGCUUGUCAUGCGGUUAAAAUCAAGAUUCACUUGCACGUUCACUCAUACAUGUUUCUUCUACUCUGGAAGUACGCAUCCACGUACAUCCACUCCUUUCCAUCUCCAGAUUCACCUAAAAUUAUUCUACUUCUAUACAGAAGAGAAUAGCCAAAAACAUUAUCCUAUCCCUGUUAUUCCUCGUGAAAUAAAUGCUCUUGAUAUUUUGGUUACUACCACUUGCUACAUUAUUCUAGGAGGGUGAGUGCUCUAAAAAAAGAGAGAAAAAAAAUACGAGGAAAUAAAAAGGGGCAAGUGCCCGGAACCUCGAAGAAAAAAAAAGUGAGACGAGAGGUAAAAAUGGACAAGUGUUUGACAGUAGAAUUAGGGGUACAAGAUACCCACCUGAGAGAAAAGAAAAAUAAAAUAUGGAGCAUCUCAUUCCUCUCAAAAACCUUCAAAGUGCAAGAAAGGUAUGUGUCCCCUCAAAAGAGCAAAAGUAGAAUUAAGACUUUCACCAUUAUUUUCACCAUUAUCACCAUCAUCACCAUACACCAUUCAUCCGCCACACAUACACAUCUUGAUUUGACUUGUUGACUUGUUUCUCUGGAUCCAUGGUUUGACUAUGCAAUAAAUGUCUUGUAAGUAUGUAUUAGCUGUCUCCCACCUCUGAGCUCCAGAUAUCAAAACCUUAUUAGAGUAGUGUGAGAGAGAAGGCAAUAUCAAUAUGCCUCAUACCACAAAUACCACAUACUUUGAGAGAAGGCAUAUAUCAUCACUGCCUUGGUAAGGAUCCAGAAAUACCACAAAAGAGAGACUAGAGAGAGUCAUACAAGGAAUCUCUGAGUUUUAUUUGAAAAUCUACAAAAACUCCAGAGCUAUAGUUGAUCAAGAAUAAGAGACAUGGUGCUUGACUAGACCGUUCUAUCUUUUAACUGCUCAAGACACAAGUGACGGUUGCAAGCCCCACGGUGAAAGGUAAAAUGAGUAAGUUUUAAGUCUUAACAGUUUACUCUAACUCAGAGAUGAGAUCUUGCUUGAACGCAUGUGUAUCUUUAAGGCAUAAAACCACUAAAGAAACUCUUGAGUCCAACCUUGCUCAGGGACGAGCAAGAGGUAAGCUUGGGGGAGCUGUUGAUGGUCCUUAAGUACUAAAUAUAACCAUCAAAUAAAUAAAGAAAAGGAUCCGAAUACAACCAACACCUAAACUUAGGGUUUUAUCUGACAGAAUUCCACGAGUUUUGGUGUUUGUCUAUUUCUGCAUGGGGUUAUCAGGAAAUAUGGAGGAAAGGCCCACAUGUCGGGUUUACAAAGAGAUAUGAACGUACCGCACAAUUUUCUAUCAUCUAGAAGACUCCAGAAGCCAUGGGAACGAACGGGAGGCCGAGCGGGCUUGGGGGCAGGGCGCCCGCCCUCCCCCAUUGGGCGCCCGCCCUGUCGCAGAGUCCAAUCAGGACUCGCUUCGGGGAUUAUGCUCCACCGACCUAAAGGAUCAAGAAUAACCGUUCCAUCAAUGUCGGUUUGAUCCGACAGCCUAGAUUCACUUGAGAAGACUAUAUAAGCAGACCCCCUGGCCCCUAGAGGAGGCACCCCUUGAUCAUUAUUCAUUAUUCAUAGACAGAGCAAAAGCUAGGGUUUGAAGAUGAGAGCUCUCUUCUCAUCUCUAAACUAGAGUAGAUCUAGAUAGUAGCGAGAUGGAGAGCGAAGGAGGAUUAGAGGAGAGGCCGGCCUGUCGAUUCUUCCUCUGGUUGUACUUCGCCAUGAUCAAUCUCUAAUCAAGCUUGCUCAUGGGAUGACUCUAGUAAUCUACUUCUAAUUUAUUAUGUAAUUACUAAUCAUGUAUGUUCUGGUUCAAAACUCUUUUGAGUACUUCUAAUCUAUAGGACCCUAUAGGUUAGAGUUGUAGUAUAGGUGUAAGCGUGGUGCUUAGACCUAGAUUACUUGUGAAUAUCCCCUGUAUAGCUGGAUCGUGUGGUAGGCCGCGUAGGUGACAGUUACGUUGGUCCCCUGUAGUCCACCUCUUGUUAGCAGGACGGGUAGGGUUUAUCGGCCUAUGGAUAAGCAUCCUUUGUGGUGUAUUCUUAUCACGUGGUUCGGUCCAGACAUAGACAUAUCCCUUUGAAGUAGAGAAACCAUAGUUACCCUCUCUAUUCUGCUACCAUCGCCUGUAUACUAGAUUGCUCAAUUCUCUAUUCCCCUAUUAUUACCCAUUGUUAUCUUCUCUUUAAUAUUGUUCUUAGUCAAUUCUACCAUCUUUCCUAUUUACACUUAUCUAUCUAUCUUGGUUAAGUUAGAGCAUAGUUGGUUCUCCCGUUUCCCUAUGGAUACGAUAAAACUUUUAACCGGGUAAAAGCUACAACGGUAUCCGUGCGCUUGCGGAUUUACCUGUGUGCGUAUAAAUACCAUAGUACACUCUAGUGCCAUGCUGGGGAUGACAACCUAGUAUUCAAGUGGUGUUAGCAAGUGUCAACAGUGCUCUACAUGUUCUUCUUCAUUGCAAGAAUAUACUAUGAUAUCAUCAAUGAAGACCAUACCAAACUUGUCCAAUUCGGGCAUGAAGACCGAAUUCAUGAGAUACAUGAAGUGUGCCGGUGCAUUCGUAAGACCGAAGGACAUGACGAGAUACUCAUACAGCCCAUAUCUCAUCGAGAAAGCCAUUUUGGGUAUAUCUUCAGGAUAGAUCUUUAUCUGAUGGUACCCAGACCGCAAAUCAAUCUUGGAGAAUACCAAAGCUUUAGACAACUGAUAAAACAAGAUAACUUUGCGAGGAAGAGGAAACUUAUUCUUGAUAGUCACCACAUUAAGUGGACGAUAAUCCACACACAUGCACACGGAUUGAUCGUUCUUCUUCACAAAGAUAGUCGGACAACUCCAAGGAGAAGAGCUAGGAUGGAUAAGACCCUUCUUCAACAAUUCAUUCAACUGGGUCUUAAGCUCAACCAGCUCAUUUGGCGGCAUUCUAUAUAGUCUUCUAGAGAUAGGAGCAGUACCUAGAAGCAAUUCAAUUUUGAACUCCACAUCCUGGUCCGGAGGAAGCCCGGGCAAGUCAUGAGGAAAUACAUUCAGAAACUCACACCCCACAAGAAUAUCCUCGAUGGCCCUGGAUGUAACUGCGUUCAUCGUGAUGCGGAUAUGAAUAUCACGAGGAAGUUGCAUUAAGAAUGCUUCCUUUGUACCAGGAUCUCUCAAAAUCACUACGUGAGUAGUUGUGUCGAUAAGAACCCCAUUACCACUCAUCCACUUCAUUCUCAAAAUUACAUCUAUGCCCACACCAGGCAAAACAACAAGAUCUGCAAGAAACUGACGGUCUCCUAUUUCCAGAGUUGCCCCAAAACCACAUGAUUUGUAGAAAUAUUAUUUCCAGUGGCACUAAUGCAGUAACUGCCUUUAUCAAGUGUAACUGCCUUGAGAUUAUGCUUAGACACAAAAUCUGAACUCAUAAAGGAAUGCGAUGCUCCCGAAUCAAAAAGCACAAGUGCAUCACAUUGGUUAACCAGGAACUUACCAUCCGUUACUACCUCACCAGCAGGGAUGGCUUCCACUAUAGUAUAGUGAACACGCCCCUGACGGACGUUCCCUUGGUUGGCCUUCUUCGGCGGGUAAGGGCAGUUGCUUUGACAAUGCCCUGUCUAAUUGCAAUUCCAGCACGGACGAUUGGCAGGUGGAGUCUUGGCAUAGCUUGGCCCAGUGUUCCCCCUAGGAAGAGCAAUUUAGUACCCCUUGUGAAAUUCCGUCUUCGCCUGAUUUUUCUUAACUAGAGGGCGGUAUCACAUAUUAGGAGUUGGAACAUGAUACUGGGGCUUAGAUGCCACUGGAGCCCUGGAUUGAGAUGCCCCGGCCUCAAAAGCAUGCUUGCGAGUUUUAGUCACAGUGUUGUAAUUCUCUUGAGUAAGAGCAUCACUAACAAACUCAUUGAAGGUGGCACACUUAGUGUGGCCCAUAGUCUUCAAUAGUUUGGGACCAAGACCCCUCUUGAAACUAGCAAUCUUUGCCUCGGUGCUCACAAACUCAGGUGCAUACCUUGACAGAUGAUUAAAAGCAUGUAGAUACUCUUUUAUAGUUAUGUUGCCCUAAGUUAACUGCAUAAACUCAGUAUGCUUCAUCUACAUGACCCCAAGAGGUAUGAAGUGCCCCUUGAAAGCUUCACGGAAGAAAUUCCAGUCAAUCACAGUAUUAUCUAUUAGAGCCUCCUAGUGCUGAUUCCACCAAAUACCAGCCAGACCGUACAACUGAUGAGCUGCAUAUUCCGCCUUAAGACUCUCGGUCAGCUGAAGCAAACGGAACUUUUGUUCCACCGUAUUCAUCCAUUCCUCCGCCUGAAGGGGUUCUUCAACCUCUCUGAAAGAUGGGGGCUUGGUGUCCAUGAAAUCCUUGAAACUGCUGUACUGGUUAGGUGCUGGCCCAUGUUGUAUGUUUCGACCACCCAGAUUUGCCGUCCGAUGAAUAGUCUUAUUGAGCAAACCCUAACAUUCCACCAUCAUUUGCAUCAGCUCUGCUGGAUUCAGUGGUGGGGUAGGAGGGGGUGGAUCCAUGUUCGCAUGAUUUCCCGCACCUCGAGUGCCUCGAGACAUCUAUAAAGACACAGUUAGUGAGUAUUGAUGAUGAUAAGAUUUGUCAUAGAAGAACUUAUAAUCAUGCCUGAAAGUAUUCGAGGGAAUAACUUUACAGAAUGAGGCAUAAUAAUUGUUGACGGUCCUUAAGUAUCAAAUUUAAUUAUCAAAUAAACAAAGAAAAGGAUCCAAAUGAAAUCAACAUCUAGACUUAGGGUUUUAUCUGACAGAAUUCCACGAGUUUUGGUGUUUGUCUAUUUUUGCAGGGGGUUAUCAGGAAAUACGGAAGAAAGGCCCACACGUCGUGAUUACAUAGAGAUAUCAACGUGCCGCGCAAUUAUCUUACAUCUAGAAGACUCCAGAAGCCAUGGGAAGGAAGCGGAGGCCGAACGGGGCCAGGCACUGGGCGCCCGCCCCCCUGUAGAGUUGGAUGAGGACUCUCUUUCGGGAUCGAUCUCCACCGACCUAGAGGAUCAAGGAUAACCGUUCAAUCAAUGUCGGUUUGAUCCAACGGCCCAUAUUCACUUGAAGGGACUAUAAAACCAGACCCCCUGGCCCCUGGAGGAGAGAGCCUCUUAACCCUAAUUCAUUAUUCCUCAAGGGAGAAGAACCCUCUGAUCAAGACUAGAGCCACCACAUCAAUUAGACAGCUAGAUUAGCAUAGCUACAUAGGAUUAGAACUAGAAGGAGUCAAUCUUCGAUUGGUUUCCGGAUCUGUCAAGAGGAUUCUUGGUAAUUCUCUAAUUGUUCUUCUAAUUGUUCAUCUUGUUCUUCAAUAUUAUGAAUAUGACUUUGGUCUACUUUAAUAUAUUGCUUAUGACUUUGCUCUACUUGUUUAUAUUCAAGAUUAUAUUGUUCUUAGUUUAUCAUAGUUAUGUACUUGGCUUAGUUAGAUUGGAUCUAUAUACAUGUUUAGGAUCGUAUAGCGUUUAUCCAUCGGAUCCAUGGGUAAAUGAUAGAUAUUGUGUAGGCGUGGUGCUUAUACCGUAUUUAUCUGCGAUUGUACCCAAUAUGCCAGAUCGUGGGGUAGUUCGUGAUAGUGACAGCUUCAUUGAUUCUUAUAUAGUCCCCCUCUCGUGUAUUGGGCUGGUGUUGACGGUCCUUAAGUAUCAAAUUUAAUUAUCAAAUAAAUAAAGAAAAGGAUCCAAAUGAAAUCAACAUCUAGACUUAGGGUUUUAUCUGACAGAAUUCCACGAGUUUUGGUGUUUGUCUAUUUCUGCAGGGGGUUAUCAGGAAAUACAGAAGAAAGGCCCACCCGUCGGGAUUACAUAGGGAUAUUAACGUGCCGCGCAAUUAUCUUACAUCUAGAAGACUCCAGAAGCCAUGAGACCGAAGCGGAGGCGAAACGGGGCCAGAGGCAGGGCGCCUGCCCUCCUGCCCUGGGCGCCCGCCCCCUCUGGGAGUCCAAUCAGGACUUUGCUUCGUGGGAGAUCUCCCCCGACCUAAAGGAUGAAUCUAAACCAUACAAUCUAUGUCGGUUUGAUCCAAUGGCCCAUAUUCACUUGAAGGGACUAUAAAACCAGACCCCCUGGCCCCUGGAGGAGAGAGCCUCUCAACCCUAAUUCAUUGUUCUUCAAGGGAGAAGAAGCCUCUGAUCAAGAUUAGAGCCACCACAUCAAUUAGACAUCUAGAUUAGCAUAGCUACAUAGGAUUAGAACUAGAAGGAGUCAAUCUUCGAUUGGUUUCCGGAUCUGUCAAGAGGAUUCUUGGUAAUUCUCUAAUUGUGCUUCUAAUUGCUUUCUAAUUAUCUUUGUUCUUCAAUAUUAUGAAUAUGACUUUGUUCUACUUCAAUAUAUUGCUUAUGACUUUGCUCUACUUGCUUAUAUUCAAGAUUAUAUUGUCCUUAGUUUAUCAUAGUUAUGUACUUGGCUUAGCUAGAUUGGAUCUAUAUACAUGCUUAGGAUCGUAUAGCGUUUAUCCAUCGGAUCCAUGGGUAAAUGAUAGGUAUUGUGUAGGCGUGGUGCUUAUACCGUAUUUAUCUGCGAUUGUACCCAAUAUGCCAGAUCGUGGGGUGGUUCGUGAUAGUGACAGCUUCAUUGAUUCUUAUAUAGUCCCCCUCUCGUGUAUUGGGCUGGCAGAACAAUAUUAUUACAGGGAAGUGAUUGCUAUGUUUCUCAUAUUCCUUGCUAAUAUCACUAUGCAUUGGCGUAGUCUUGUCUCACAAUGAUUGCUAAGUAUGCUUGCACUAAUUAUGAUAAUGCUAGACUAUAUAGUUGAGAAUAACUUAGGGAAUAUUCGUGUGGUUCGUUCUAAUACCAUGCUAAUGACUUUCUAGAAUAUCUAAUUGAGGUGCUUAUCAUAUUUAUUAUGUGGCUAGAUCAGAUUAGUUAUCUUUGUCACUAUUAUUAUUUCAUAUAUCUUUUAUGUGACACUUAUCCCUGUAUGAAGAGUUAGAUAUAAUGUUCUCAAUUAUACAUGCAAUGAUAGAUGCUCAAUCUCAUAUUCUAUUCUGUAAUCAAUAGUGAUGAUUACUAAUCCAUUCCCAGUGGUAAAAAUAUAAAUAACGAUACCUGGAAUACUUCUCGGUUAAAAUGCUGCAUCGGUAUUAAUCUGUGCGCUUGCAGAUCCCAUUCAUUAUUUAUUUAGAAGAGCAAUUGCAUAUUUCAAUACCGCGUCUCUCAUGUCAUGCUGGGGAUGACAACUUGGCAUAAGUGGUGUGAGGGAUAGGUUUGGCAUUUUUGGCACCGAUACUAGAUUUAGAGAACUUAGUCUACUUUUGGUAAAGAUGUUAAGAAUAACCAACAAGCAUUUUUGGCGCCGUUGCCAGGGAAGGUUGACUACUAAUCAGGAAUGGAAUAAAAGAUUUUGAGUUAUCAUUCGCAUCACUAAUAUGAUUGAGCUUAUCUAUUCUCUCAUACAGUUUUACCCCGAUAUUUUUCUAUUUUAUCUUAUGUAGGAGAAUGUAUGAAUAGAAGACAUCUUCCAGGAAAUUUUGUUGACAAUCCUGAAGCAUUAUUCAAGAAGACGAGAGCCAAGCUCAAGAAGAGAUCAUCAACACUUCAGCAAGAAGCUUCAUCCAAUCAAGAAGAUCACCGGAACUUGUCUUCAGAGUUCGAAGCCAUGGCGAACAAAUCAAUCCGCGAGUUCUCAGCUCCCACUACGGACAACAUCCGCACUGGACCUGCUGCAGAGAUCGAUGGCAACUUUGAGCUCAAGCCUGGACUUAUCAACAUGGUGCAAUCCAACCAGUUAUAUGGGAAGGCACACGAAGAUGCUAGUGCUCAUUUACAACACUUCCUGGAGAUUUGCAACACAUUCACCAUAUCAGGAGUUUCCAAAGAUGCUAUACUACUUUGCCUCUUCCCAUUCUCACUGUUAGGAAGAGCGAAGCAGUGGUUCUACGCUACAAAGGAGAAGAAUACUACAUGGGCACUCUGCUCAACAAACUUCCUGGCAAAGUUCUUUCCCAUGGGCAAGACCAAUGCUCUCCGUGGGAAGAUUACAAGUUUUCAGCAACAAAAUGAUGAAUCUAUUCCAGAAGCAUUGGAGCGCUUUCAAGACUACAUCCUAGAAUGUCCCCAUCAUGGAAUGGAAAGUUGGCUAUUGAUGCAGACGUUUUAUCAUGGACUCGGCAACAGUGCCCGAGAGACCAUGGAUGCUGCAGCUGGAGGAGCAUUCUUAUCACUUACUAUACCACAAGCCACAACUCUUGUGGAGAAGAUGGCGUCCAACCAAAGCUGGAAUGAAGAGAGGACCCAGACACGCAAGAGAGGUGGAGGUAUGCAUCAGCUCAAGGAGGUAGACAUGCUGUCUGCAAAGCUAGACCUGCUCAUGAAGAAGCUCGACGAUAGAGCUGGAGACAAGAAAGAAGUUAUGCACAUCUACGACUCUCACAUGACUUGUGAGGAGUGUGGAGAUACUGGACACUCAGGCAACCACUGCCCUGAGAUGCUUGAGGAUGUGAACUACAUCAAAAAACAACAACAACAACUACUACUACAACCAUCCUCAACAAAAUCAAGGUUGGAAUCAACAGAGACCUAACUACUCAGGUAAUUAUCAAGGUAACAAUUCUUACAACAAUAAUAAUAAUUUUCCACCUUUGAGAGAGUUAGUGUCUAAUCAAGGAAAGCUAAUGGAUAACCUAUCUAAGAAAUUGGCAUCUAAUGAUAAAAUGCUAGAAAAUAUAAAUAAUAGAAUGGAUAAUUUCUCUACUGCCAUCAAGAAUCAAAUUAGCUUUAAUAAAAUGAUUGAAUCUCAGUUAAAUCAAAUAGCUGCUACUGUUCCUACUACUAACCCCGGUAUACCAUCACAACCGGAAGGAUUAGAAUCUGCAAAUCUUGUAGACAUGUUUGAUGCAGGUAACUGGAGUAACCCCGUAACUGAAUUCUCUACUGACCUUCUGCCGGUCAAGAGAGACGAUCCAGGAUGCCCCGUCAUCCCGAACUCCAUCGGCAUGGUGGAUGUCCCAGAAGCACUAUGUGACUUUGGCUCCAGCGUCAACAUUAUACCCAGGGUACUUUAUGAAAAAUUCUUUACAUAUCCUUUAUUAGAGACAACCAUGUGUUUGCAGUUUGCAGAUCAGACGAUAACUUUUCCAAAAGGAAUAUGAAGAACCUUUGUGUCCGAGUUGGUACCUUGUAUGCCCUAGCAGACUUCGUAGUAGUAGAGACCGGAAAUGAUGAGAGAGCACCUAUCAUCUUAGGGAGGCCAUUCUUGAAUACCACGGGAGCUAUCAUCUUCGCUAGUGCUGCUAAGAUCAGUUUCUACGUCAAAGGGAGGAAGGAGACAUUUUUCUUCAAGAACAAGACUACACAAAUUCCAGAUCAAUCUAGACGUCAAUCAAGGAAGAGGACCAACAGGAGGAAUAGGAACAAGCAAGUGUGGACCGAUUCAGCUAAGAUGGUCACUGUAGUUCAUGGAGGCCAAGAUCAUCAACUCAAGUCACCGCUUUUGACCAAGAAGGACGACCCAGGAAUGCCAAGCAUCUACUGCUCCAUCAAUGGAUACAACUUCUACAAAUAAACUUGUGACAUCGGAUCGGGCGUCAACAUAAUGGCCGCAGUCACCUAUCGGCUCUUGUUCGGAACCAUGCCCCUAAGACCAACAUACAUUCAGCUCCAGAUGGCAGAUCAGACAUUUCGAGAAGUUAAAGGAAUAGUAACUGAUGUCCCAGUCAAAAUAGACGAUCACUUUGUCUACACAGACUUUCAAGUUAUUGACAUGGGAGAAGACGAGUAUGAUCCACCCAUCAUCCUUGGAAGACCGUUCCUCAGCACCGUUAAAGCAAUUAUCUACAUUAGAACCGGAGAAGUCCAUAUGCACUUCCCCUCAGAGAAGGUACGCCGUUACUUUACUGACCCUAACUAUAUCGUUGAAGAAUCUAAGCAGGUAAGGAAAAGACGCAACCGCAACCAGAGGAGGCAGAUCAUCAAGGACGGAUGGGCAGACUAUGAACGAGAAGUUAUAAGGUCAGAAGACGUAGAGUUUAAACAGAAUUAUCCAGAGGAGAUUGAAGCACCAAGUCAGGUGUGGAAAAUGAAGAUAACUAUACAUGAAGAGGAGGCGCUGCCGGAAGUACCGACUACGCCACCCAACGAACCUCAGGACAAUUGAAAAAAAUGGAGAGUCCCGUUCGGAGGACUUAAAAACACCGAACGCCUAGCCAAGAGGUAAACUUGGUAGUUAUCCUUUCCCUUUCAAUUAUUUUAAAUAGUUUACUGAGUUAAUCAUGUUCGUACUAUCUUAAAAAGAAAAUAAAAAUGUGAAAAAUAGUAAGCCCCAUGUGAGUAUGCGAGUGGCAUAAAACCCAUAAGUACAUUCACUGUGGUGGCAUAAAAAUAAAAUAAAAAUUUCUUUUCUGCUUUAUAAAAUGAAAAUAUAAAAACAGGGAGUAAUAACUAUUAAGGAGUCUCAACAUGAUAAAGGCUAGAUAUUUAUGCUAACACUUAAUCAGUUCCACAAGCUAUGUUGUCUAUUUGAGCUCCACAGAAUUUAAGAAUCAAGAAGACUAGCAGACGGAGGACAUUCUAAUCGCUGUCAGAAUGCUGCUGACUUUCAAAUACACCUCUGCCACCUGCUAGCUACAUCAAGAGAAAUUACGUCAAAAUUCAGCUUGGGGGAGAGCACCCCCAUUUAUCUCGAUAAAUAUUUCUAUAUAUCUUUAUACUUAUAUUAUUUUAGAAUAUAAAUAUACAUAACUAUAAAAAAAUCAAAUAAAGAUUUCGUACUUAUAUAUUUGCCUUUUGCUUAGUGUGUUUAAUAAAUAAAUAAAGUGGCUAUGCUAAUCUGUAUCUAAAUAAAACUUAAGCAUGGAUAUGAUGAAUAGUUCCUCUGCCUAAUUUGCACAUUUUAAGUUCUCUCUCAAGUUUAGAUAUAACUGUUAUAAUUUAAGGCUUGCUCUAGACCUAAACUUGUGGGAUGAAAACUUGAUCUCAAGUCUAAGUUGUUAACGGAUACGAUAUGGGAAGGUUGAGCUGUUGUUUAUCUGUUCCUAGAGAUGCUAGAAUUCUGGAGAAUUUUAUCUUUGAAAAUCUUUUAAAAUAUUGCAUGAUGAGUUCCUGUAUGAUGAGAGUUUAAAUUCCUACCACAGCCAUAUAUACAUGCUUGUUAGACUUUGAGCCACACAUUUACUAUUUACUGCUUAUGAGCAUUGAGUGUGGUCAAGCUGUGUAGACCCUUAGGAGCUUGUCAUGUGUUUAACUCAAGAUUUCACUUACACGUUCACUCAUAUAUGCUACUUCUACUCCGGAAGUACCAUCCACAUAUAUCCAUCCAUUUCCAUCUCCAGAAUCACCAAAAAAAAUAUUCUACUCCUAAUCCGCGAGAGAAUAACCAAAAAUAUUUCUGUUUUUCCCUUAUGAAAUAAAUGCUCAAGUUAUCUUGUUACUACCACUUGCUAUAUUAUCUCAAGAGAUGAGUGCUUUAACAAAAAGAAAUAAAAUACGAGGAAAUAAAAAGGAGCAAGUGCUCGGAACCUCGAAAGAAAAGAAAAAGUGAGACGAGAGGUAAAAAUGGACAAGUGUCCGACAGUAGAAUUAGGGGUACAAGAUACCCACCUGAGAGAAAAGAAAAAAAGAUAGAGCAUCUCAUUCUCCUCAUAAAGUUUCAAAAAGAAAGGAAGGUAUGUAUCCCCUCAAAGAGCAAAAGUGGAAAUAGACUUCCACCAUUGUUAUCACCAUCACCACCAUACACCAUUCAUUCGCCACACAUGCACAUCUUGAUUUGGCUUAUUGGCUUGUUUCUUUGGAUCCAUGGUUUGACUAUGCAAUACAUGUCUUGUAAGUAUGUAUACUUUAUCUCCCACCUAUGAGCUCCAGAUAUUAAAGCCUUAUUAGAGUAAGGUGAGAGAGAAGGCAAUGUCACUAUGCUUUAUACCACAAAUACCACAUAUCUUGAGAGAAGGCAUAUACCAUCGCUGCCUUGGUAAGGAUCCAGAAAUACCACAAAAGAGAGAUCUGAGAGAAUCAUACAAGGAAUCUCUGAGUUUUAUUUGAAAAUCUGCAAAAACACCAGAGCUAUAGCUGAUCAAGAAUAAGAGACAUGGCACUUGACUAGACUGUUCUAUCUUUUAACUACUCAAGACAGAAGUGAUGGUUACAAGUCCCAUGGUGAAGGUAAAGUAAGUAAGUUUUAAGUCUUUACAGUUUACUCUAACUCAAAGAUGAGAUCUUAUUUAAAAGCAUGUGUACCGUCAAUUUUAAAAAUAUUGCAACAACUUAUGAUCCAUAGCUGAGUCUAUCCUUGCUCAGGGACGAGCAAGAGGUAAGCUUGGGGGAGUUUGUUGACGGUCCUUAAGUAUCAAAUUUAAUUAUCAAAUAAAUAAAGAAAAGGAUCCAAAUGAAAUCAACAUCUAUACUUAGGGUUUUAUCUGACAGAAUUCCACGAGUUUUGGUGUUUGUCUAUUUCUGUAGGAGGUUAUCAGGAAAUACGGAAGAAAGGCCCACACAUCGGGAUUACAUAGAGAUAUUAACGUGCCGCGCAAUUAUCUUACAUCUAGAAGACUCCAGAAGCCACGAGACCGAAGCGGAGGCGAAACGGGGCCAGAGGUAGGGUGCCCGCCCUCCUACCCUGGGCGCCCGCCCCCUCUGGGAGUCCAAUCAGGACUCUGCUUCGUGGGAGAUCUCCACCGACCUAAAGGAUGAAUCUAAACCAUACAAUCUAUGUCGGUUUGAUCCAAUGGCCCAUAUUCACUUGAAGGGACUAUAAAACCAGACCCCCUAGCCCCUGGAGGAGAGAGCCUCUCAACCCUAAUUCAUUGUUCUUCAAGGGAGAAGAAGCCUCUAAUCAAGAUUAGAGCCACCACAUCAAUUAGACAUCUAGAUUAGCAUAGCUACAUAGGAUUAGAACUAGAAGGAGUCAAUCUUCGAUUGGUUUCCGGAUCUGUCAAGAGGAUUCAUGGUAAUUCUCUAAUUGUGCUUCUAAUUGCUUUCUAAUUAUCCUUGUUCUUCAAUAUUAUGAAUAUGACUUUGUUCUACUUCAAUAUAUUGCUUAUGACUUUGCUCUACUUGCUUAUAUUCAAGAUUAUAUUGUUCUUAGUUUAUCAUAGUUAUGUACUUGGCUUAGUUAGAUUGGAUCUAUAUACAUGCUUAGGAUCGUAUAGCGUUUAUCCAUCGGAUCCAUGGGUAAAUGAUAGAUAUUGUAUAGGCGUGGUGCUUAUACCGUAUUUAUCUGCGAUUGUACCCAAUAUGCCAGAUCGUGGGGUGGUUCGUGAUAGUGACAGCUUCAUUCAUUCUUAUAUAGUCCCCCUCUCGUGUAUUGGGCUGGCAGAGCAAUAUUAUUACAGGGGAGUGAUUGCUAUGUUUCUCAUAUUCCUUGCUAAUAUCACUAUGCAUGGGUGUAGUCUUGUCUCAUAAUGAUUGCUAAGUAUGCUUGCACUAAUUAUGAUAAUGAUAGACUAUAUAGUUGAGAAUAACUUAGGGAAUAUUCUUGUAGUUCGUUCUAAUACCAUGCUAAUGACUUUCUAGAAUAUCUAAUUGAGGUGCUUAUCAUAUUUAUUAUGUGGCUAGAUCAGAUUAGUUAUCCUUGUCACUAUUAUUAUUUCAUAUAUCUUUUAUGUGACACUUAUCCAUGUACGAAGAGUUAGAUAUAAUGUUCUCAAUUAUACAUGCAAUGAUAGAUGCUCAAUCUCAUAUUCUAUUCUGUAAUCAAUAGUGAUGAUUGCUAAUCCCUUCCCAGUGGUAAAAAUAUAAAUAACGAUACCUGGAAUACUUCCCGGUUAAAAUGCUGCAUCGGUAUUAAUCUGUGCGGUUGCAGAUCCCAUUCAUUAUUUAUUUAGAAGAGCAAUUGCAUAUUUCAAUACCGCGUCUCUCAUGACACGCUGGGGAUGACAACUUGGCUUAAGUGGUGUGAGGGAUAGGUUUGGCAUUUUUGGCACCGUUACUAGAUUUAGAGAAGUUAGUCUACUUUUGGUAAUGAUGUUAAGAAUACCCAACAGCUGGCAGAGCAACAUUAUUACAGGGGAGUGAUUGCUAUGUUUCUCAUAUUCCUUGCUAAUAUCACUAUGCAUGGGCGUAGUUUUGUCUUGCAACGAUUGCUAAGUAUGCUUGCACUAACUAUGAUAUGCUAGACUAUAUAGUUGAGAAUAACUUAGGAAAUAUUCUUGUAGUUCGUUCUAAUACCAUGCUAAUGACUUUCUAGAAUAUCUAAUUGAGAUGCUUAUCAUAUUUAUUAUGUGGCUAAGUUAUGCUGAUCAGAUUAAUUAUCUUUGUCAUUAUUCAUUACUUCAUAUAUCCUUUAUGUGACACUUAUCCCUGUAUGAAAGAGUUAGAUACAUGUUCUCAAUUAUACAUGCAAUGAUAGAUACUCAAUUUCAUAUUAUAUUCUAUAAUCAAUAUUGAUGAUUGAUAAUCCCUUCUCAGUGGUAAAAAUAUAAAUAACGAUACCUGGAAUACAACCCGUCGUAUUUUUUAAGUUUUUCGAGCUUGAAAUUGCGGGGCCACACGACCUGGCGGAGGUGUGAGGAGAACUGUCUUAGGCCCGGAGGACCGUGCGUUGCAUCGUACUCGAUGCGGCGCAGGUUUUCGUGGACUGCUCUCUCUGCGGCGCGUCUGUUGAUGCGGUCCCGGGCAUCUUUGGGAGGGAUGUUGUGGCGGAGAUCCCUGUGCUGGUUUACUUCUUGGCCACGUACGCGGUUCUGCUUGCGGCGACCGUCGUCGUCCCGACCACCAUCGUCGCGCCGUGAGUCCCCUCGACGGUUGUCGGGGGAGUGGCUGCGGUGACGCCUGCUGGGAGAUGGUGGGGCCCGGCUACGAUUAGUCUGGUCAGAGGCGGCUUCCGUAUAAGAGACGUCCUGGACUCUCUUGAGCAGAGUGGCUGUCUGUCCCAUUGCAGCGAUCAGGUGUGCUCGGAUGCUGGUCCGGACUCCCUGGCAUUCGGGGGUAUCAGGAAGCCGAUCUAGGUUAGCCAUGGCGACAGCCACGUUGGCGCUUGGCGUUUUGUAGACUGGCUGGUGCCCGACCAUGUCAAAGGCAUCGUUGAGAUUAUUUGGUGGCAUUUGUUGUUGCUCGUCUGCGCGUCGUCGGGCGCGAUCGGCGUUGCGCUGUUCGCGGAGUUUCCUCUGGUCAUCUGUUUCUCCAUCAACGACCGGUUCGUCGGCGCUGACAUUGAACACAAUAUCCCCUCGCCGGGGGGGAAAUAUCGGGAAUCGGUUGAAACCCGGAGGGUGUGAAGGAAAAUCCAGGUCGUAGUCCUCGUCUUCGGUGUCUAUAACCUCGGUGGGGACGGAACCGGUGCUUGAGUUGGUGCUGGAAACCUGGCCGUCCCGUAGUUCUCGGAUUGUCACCAUGUUUACGUAGUGACGAUCGUUCCUUGUCGACGACCAACCCGCCUUGCUGAAAACGGAUUGGGUGUGCUGUGAGUAGACAGAGGCCGAGUUGUUCAGGCCGCAAGGAUAAUCUUCCUUCUUGAGCUCGACGGAUCGUCCUAAGGGGGUUGAGGUUAUCGUCAUAGACGUUCCCAGCCGUUCGUGUGUGGCGACACGAGUUGGCCGGCGGGAUUUGAAAAAACCCGCUGGAGCAGCUUGGUCAGGCCGACGCAGAACUCCGUCUACUAGUUGGGAAACUUCGAGUAGCUUGGAGUCAGCGCGAUCAAGCGCUUGGAGAAGGUCCGAGCAGUCGAUCUUCUUUCCCUUGUAGAGCGGGAACGGUGGUCGGGCGCUUGGUGCCGUCACGCGUGUGGUCGGAGACGGCGUGAUCUCAGAUUGGAUCUGGAUCUCUUUCGAAACCGUGGUCGUGAGGCCGCCGCUGCACGUCGUCCACGUGAUCUGGCCGACGGUGAACGUGAGGCCUUCAGGCACGGUCGCGGAAGCUGGGAUCGUGACCAUCUUGUUCGCCGGAAAAGUUGCACGCACACCCCCUACCUGGCGCGCCACUGUCGACGAAAGCUGGUCGGCAGUCUACCUCGGGGUAUACCCACGGUAGUAGUUUAUCGGUAGACGGUGCGCAAACUACGAACUCGAUGGUGACGCAAGACACGGACAAGCUUUUUAUCCAGGUUCGGCCGCCGAGUUGGCGUAAUACCUACGUCCUGCGUCUGGUUGUAUUGAUUUGUGUUGAGAGAAUAUGAUAUGUCCUAGGGGGGUCCCUUGCCCCUCCUUAUAUAGUCUGGAGGGCAGGGUUACAGAUCUGGAAACUAAUCCUAGUCGGUUACAAUUGCCAUGGAUAAUUCGAUAUCAAUUCCUAUUCUAACCGACUAGAAUCCUGCUUGAUCUCCCCAUCUUGUUUCCUUGCGCGGAACUCCAGGUUGUCGGAUCAAGCCUUGAACUCGUCUCGUAAUGGGCCAAGCUUCCUGGCCGAAGUCUAGCCGUAAGGGUAUAGGGGUUUAUACCCCCACACUUUCUGGUUAAAAUGAUACAUCGGUAUUAAUCUGUGCGCUUGCAGAUCCCAUUCAUUAUUUAUUUAGAAGAGCAAUUGCAUAUUUCAAUACCGCAUCUCUCAUGUCAUGCUGGGGAUGACAACUUGGCUUAAGUGGUAUGAGGGAUAGGUUUGGCAUUUUUGGCACCGUUAUCAGAAUUAGAAAACUAAGUCUACUUUUGGUAAUGAUGUUAAGAAUACUCAACAAGCAUUUUUGGCACCAUUGCCGGGGAAGGUUGAUUACUAAUCAGGAAUGAAUAUAGGAUUUUGAGUUAUCAUUCGCAUCACUAAUAUGAUUGAGCUUAUCAAUUCUCUUAUAUAGUUUUACCUAGAUAUUUUUUAUUUUAUCUUAUGCAGGGAAUGUAUGAAUAGAAGACAUCUUCUAGGAAAUUUUGUUGACAAUCCUGAAGCAUUAUUCAGAAAAACAAGAGCCAAGCUCAAGAAGAGAUCAUCAACACUUGAGCAAGAAGCUUCAUCCAAUCAAGAAGAUCACCGGAACAUGUCUUCAGAGUUUGAAGCCAUGGCAAACAAAUCGAUCCGCGAGUUCUCAGCUCCCACUAUGGACAACAUCUGCACUGGACCUCCUGCAUAAAUCGAUGGCAACUUUGAGCUCAAGCCUGGACUUAUCAACAUGGUGCAAUCCAACCAGUUCUGUGAGAAGGCACACGAAGAUGCUAGUGCUCAUCUCAAACACUUCCUGGAGAUUUGCAACACAUUUACCAUAUCAGGAGUUUCCAGAGAUGCUAUACUACUUCGCCUCUUCCCAUUCUCACUGUUAGGGAGAGCGAAGCAGUGGUUCUACGCUACAAAGGAGAAGAAUACUACAUGGGCACUCUGCUCCAUGAACUUUCUGGCUAAGUUCUUUCCCAUGGGUAAGACCAAUGCUCUCCAUGGAAAAAUUACAAGUUUUCAGCAACAACAUGAUGAAUCCGUUCCAGAAGCAUGGGAGCGCUUCCAAGACAUGCAAGAGAGGUGGAGGUGCAGCAACAGUGCCCGAGAAAUUUUGUGGAAUGGAAAGUUGGCUACUGAUGUAGACAUUUUAUCAUGGGCUCAGCAACAGUGCCCGAGAAACCAUGGAUGCUGCAGCUGGAGGAGCAUUCCUAUCACUCACUAUAUCACAAGCCACAGCUCUUGUGGAGAAGAUGGCGUCCAACCAAAGCUGGAAUGAAGAGAGGACCCAAACACGCAAGAGAGGUGGAGGUAUGCAUCAAUUCAAGGAGGUAGACAUGCUGUCUGACCUGCUCAUGAAGAAGCUCGAUGAUAGAGCUGGAGAUAAGAAAGAAGUUAUGCACAUCUACGACUCUCACAUGACUUGUGAGGAGUGUGGAGAUACUGGACACUUAGGCAAUCACUGCCCUAAGAUGCUUGAGGAUGUGAACUACGUCAACAACAACUACUACUACUACAACCGUCCUCAACAAAAUCAAGGUUGGAAUCAACAGAGGCCUAAUUACUCAGGUAAUUAUCAAGGUAACAAUUCUUACAACAAUAAUAAUAAUUUUCCACCUCUGAGAGAGUUAGUGUCUAAUCAAGGAAAGCUAAUGGAUAAUCUAUCUAAGAAAUUGGCAUCUAAUGAUCAAAUGCUAGAAAAUAUAAAUAACAGAAUGGAUAAUUUCUCUACUGCCAUCAAAAAUCAAAUUAGCUUUAAUAAAAUGAUUGAAUCUCAGUUAAAUCAAAUAGCUGCUGCUGUUCCUGCUACUAACCCCGGUAUACCAUCACAACCGGAAGGAUUAGAACCUGCAAAUCUUGUAGACAUGUUUGAUGCAGGUAAUAAUUGGAGUAACCCCGUCAUUGAAUUCACUACUGACCUUCUGCCGGUCAAGAGAGGCGAUCCAGGACGCCCCAUCAUCCCGAUCUCCAUCGGCAUGGUAGACGUUCCAGAAGCACUCUGCGACUUUGGCUCUAACGUCAACAUUAUACCCAGGGUACUCUAUGAAAAAUUCUUUACAUAUCCUUUACUAGAGACAACCAUGUGUUUGCAGUUUGCAGAUCAGACGAUAAGUUUUCUAAAAGGAAUAUUGAAGAACCUUUCUGUCCUAGUUGGUACCUUAUAUGCCCUAGCAGACUUCUUGGUGAUAGAGACCGGUAAUGAUGAGAGAGCACCCAUCAUCUUAGGGAGGCCAUUCUUAAACACCUCGGGAGCUGUCAUCUACGCUAGUGCUACCAAGAUCAGUUUCUACAUUAAAGGGAGGAAGGAUACGUUUUUCUUCAAAAACAAGACUACACAAAUCCCAGAGCAAUCCAGACGUGAAUCAAGGAAUAGGACCAAAAGGAGGAACAAGACCAAGCAAGUGUGGACCGAGUCAGCUAAGAUGGUCACUGCAGUUCAUGGAGGCCAAGAUCAUCAACUUAAGUCGCCAUUUCUGACUAAGAAGGAGGACCUAGGAAUGCCAAGCAUCUAUUGCUCCAUAAAUGGAUACAACUACUACAAGACAACUUGAGACACCGGAUCGGGCGUCAACAUAAUGGCCGCAGUCACCUAUCAGCUCUUGUUCGGAACCAUGCCCUGAAACCAACAUACAUUCAGCUCCAGAUGGCAGAUCAAACAUUUCGAGAAGUUAAAGGAACAGUAACUGAUGUCCUAGUCAAAAUAGACGAUCAUUUUGUCUACACAGAUUUUUAGGUUGUUGACAUGGGGGAAGACGAGUACGAUCCAUCCAUCAUCCUUGGAAGACCGUUCCUCAGCACUGUUAAAGCAAUCAUCUACAUUGGAACCGGAGAAGUCCAUAUGCACUUCCUUUCAGAAAAGGUACGUCAUUAUUUUACUGACCCUAACUAUAUCGUUGAAGAAUCUAAGCAGGUCAGAAAGCGACGCAACCGCAACCAGAGGAGGGAAAUCAUCAAGGACGGAUGGGCAGACUAUGAAGGAGAAGUUGCAAGGUCAGAAGAUGUAGAGUUUAAACUGAAUUAUCCAGAGGAGACCGUAGCACCGAGUCAGGUAUGGAAAGAGAAGAUAACUAUACAUGAAGAGGAGGCGCUGCCGGAUGUACCGACUCCGCCACCCAACGAAUCCUAGGACAAUUGAGAAAGAGGAGAGUCCCGUUCGGAGGACUUAAAAACACCGAAUGCCUUGCCAAGAGAAUUUAAGAAUCAAGAAGACUAGAAAACGGAGGACAUUCUAAUCGCUAUCAGAAUGCGGCCCAGUUUCAAAUACACCUCGCCACCUGCUAGCUACAUCAAGGGAAAUUACGUCAAAAUUUAGCUUGGGGGAGAGCACCCCCAUUUAUCCCGAUAAGUAUUUCUAUCUAUCUAUCUUUAUACUUAUACUAUAUUAAAAUAUAGAUAUAUAUAACUAUGAAGAACCAAAUUAAGAUUUUAUGCUUGUCUUUUGCUUAGUGUGUUUAAUAAAUAAAUAAAUAAAGUGGCUAUGCUAAUCUGUAUCUAAAUAAAUAAAUAUAGUACCAAAUUAAUAUCAUUAGAUUUAUCAUUGAAUAUAUUUUCAUAAGAUACUCAUUUUAUGUUAUACAUAUUGAUGCUCUUUUCUAUAAAGUUGGUCAAAAUUAAACAAGUUUGACUGGCACGGAUUCUACGAAUUGAAGCUUUUAGGGACAGAGGGAGUACGUACUUAACUAUUUGUUUCUUAAUUUCAUCAAUCGGAUAUACGGGCGGCUACUACCCAUCACGUUUUCACACUUGACUCAAGAAAUCUCUCAAAUCUCAAUCCUCUCUAGGCUCUUGCUUCUCUCUUGCACCAUAAUGUGAUUCUCAACUGAUCAAAAUGGGCAAGAGACCUCCCAUGGACGAGGUGGAGGAGUAUAAAUACUCCCCAUCAAGUCUAGGGGCCGACAAACCGUUUUACACUAAAAACGGGAGCACCCGAUGGUGAUAAUGUUGCACCGGAUGCACUGCACCGAGCGUCUAGUGACCCAUUGUAACACCCUAAAAAUUGUUUUCUUGGAAAAUAGGGCUAAAAUGAUUUAUUUAUGAAUUUAUGUGCUCAUGAAACAUAGGAAAAUAAUAUUUUCAUUUAAAUAAAGUUAAUCAUAGGACUUAGCAACUUGUUGUGCAUUCAUGCUGGAGUAUAUUCAAUUUUGUCUUGUUGACUUUUGGUUUGAAUUUAAUUGCAUUAAAAUUCUCUUCAAAAGAAAGCUUUAGAAAAUAAAAUGGAAAAGGAAAAAAAAAGGAAGCACCCUGUACUUCCCCUCUCGGCCUAGCCCCAUUUCUUCACACCCUCGCGACCCAGCUUUCCCUCCCCCGGCCCAAUUCGCUGCGGCCCAGCAGCGCAGGCGCGCUCUCUCCCUCUCAGACUCUGGUGACCGGGCCCCGCCCUUCUCCCACCGACAACACGGCCCCACCCGUCAGCCGACUCCUUCUCCUCCUUCCUUUCUUCCCCACCGUAACCGAACAGGAGACCACCGAACGAGGAACGACACAGAAAUCCCGGUUUCCUCGGGAUCCCUUGCCAAUCCGCGUGUCAUGCCCCUAUAAAGCUCUCGAACAACCUCGUAGACCCCCUUUUGUCAUCUAUUGCACCCCGGGAAGCCCUAGCUGCCUCAAGCAUUGAGUUUUGGAUCUCACCGUGGCCGCGCCCUAUCUCCACCGCGGCGAGACAUCAUCGCACGCUCUCGGGUCGUGGCAAGCGCCCAGGUGAGCUCGGGGUGAGCUUCUCUUCCGCCUAGUGCUCUCCGUUUCUCUUCUAGCGCAAUAUUUCACGAGUUUAGAGAAAACCGGCGAGCUCAGGGGCGGCAACCAUGGUGCCGCCGCGCCGGAGCCAUCCCUGGCGGCCGGCCCGCCGCCUGGAGCCCCUGCAUGGAUUCUGGACCGUAGGAUCGAGAUCUAAGCGCCUAAAAUAAAACAUACCCCUUCGCUGCACAUUUUCCUUAAGAGACCGUGAGUUUCUUUGAAAUCCAUCCCGCAGUCCCAAGGCGCCCUGACUAGAGUGCACUUUCCUGUUGUGAAAGCGUAAACCUGGCUCGGAGUUCAAAAUACGUUUUCGGUUAAUUACAGUUUUGCCACUGAUUUUGUUUUGCUCAUAAAAUAUUCAUUUUAACUCUGUUUUUGUCCAUUCAAAUUUUGUUAGAUUCGUGUUUACGAGCUCUACAUGUUAGAUGUAUUUAUUCUCUAUUUUGAAACUUUUUUUCUGGAGUAGCAAUUAAUUAAUUAUUUCUCUAUAGGAAAUCUUAAAAAAUUCAUAUCUUCUACGUCUUAAUUCCGAUUUUCGUGAACUUUACGUUUGUGUGAUCGUAGCGCUGCGUAUAAUAUUUUCAUAAACUUUUAUCUUUGGUUUCUCACUGUUUGGUGUAUUGAUCUAAUUAUAGCUUGUUUGCUUUGUGUAUGAUUGUCUCCAUUGGAUUGCGUGUUGUUGAUUGAUGAUCGAGUAUAGAUGGUGAGCGAUACGUUGGUGAUCAAGACCAAGCCUUUGAAGACGAGCAGGCUCAGGAAAGCUUCGAUCAAGGCAAGUAUAAUUGGGGAUUAUCCUUGUUACCUAUACAUAAUUAAUACAAUUCAUAUGCAUGUGUCCACCUUGAUGACCUUAGCAAAAUCAUAGAUGAUUGUUAUCCUGAAUUCCUUGUUACCUAUUUGGAUAUGCAUUUGGGUAGUUCUUGCUAGUGCUUGAUUAUUAAUCCAUGAUCUUGUAACAGGAAUAUUUGAAUAUACAAUAAACAAUAAAAUAAGCUUUCUAGCAACUUGAACAUAAAGGGUGGAAAGAACUCUGGCUUUUGCUGGAUUGAUCUUGACCCUCCAUAAUGACUUAUCCCUUGGCAAAAGUUGGGACAACUCGUACAACCAUCAGGGCUAUAUGGCUCUGGCUUUAGUCAAGUAUGAGUAAGCUUUUCUAGCUUGUUAGAGGUUACCCGAAAGGGCGGAGGGGCUGAACCGUUUUGGGUAUAGUGCGAGCCCUUGUCCCUAUGUGUAUAGGCUGCGCGUCAUUGUGCCAUUUGGAAGGGGGGUAUCUAUAUCUGCGUGCAAAUGAAACCAAGCGGCCCUAACUGGUUAGACGAACCUUUGAAAGACUUCAUAGUGAACCCUGCCGACCUUCCUUGGUAGUGGGUUAAGAGGUCGACGGGCCUCGGACGAAAGGGUAAAUCACGACUCAUGGGUAAAGAUGUACAACCUCUGCAGAGUGUUAAAUCUGGUAUACUAGUCGUGCCCACGGAUACGGGCGGCCCGGAAAACUGACGAAAUAGAUGGACACUCAUGAACGUGAUUAAUGAUGAUAAAUGAUGGUUUAUUAUGUUGUUUAUAUGUGUUAUUCAUAAUUCUUGUAUACAUAUGAUCAUGUGGUUAUGGGAUUAAUUAUGCUACCUUGAUAUUUGCUAUCCAAUGAUUAAACAUGCUAUCUACAUAUAAAAGCUAAAUGCAGUCAAACCAGUGUCAGCUAUUUGAGCCUCAUGAACCCCUGGUUAUACUUGUUGAGUACGAUAUGUGCUCAUUCUUGCAAUUUCCCCACACCUCAGGAGAAGUUUUAGGCUUGUGAUCAACCAGUCAGUUUGAUCCUGUGGAGAGGAGUUAAUACCCGAAGUUUGGAGUUGUCUAUCCGUUGUUUGCUAUUAAAGGUUAUCUCUUUUAUACUAAGUACAUUAUAAACUUAUGCAUUGUCUUUUGAUAUUACCCCUUAUUUGUAGCUAUAUGUGAGAAUUGACUUCUAAUACUCACAUAUGGUGCAUAUCUGGUUUUGUCCUUAAAAUCGGGUAUUACACCCAUUAAUGGCUAACUACACUCUUUCUGACAGAGCACCGGAUGCACCCUCAGCGAGUCUGGUGGCACUGUCUGGUGUGAGGGUGAAUUUACAACCUCCCUGUGUUUAGGACCGGACGCUCCCCGAUGAGUCCGGUGCUAGCGUCCGGUGCCCUGGUCUCCAUCAGACAUCCCUGGGUAUGGGACCAGACACUCCCUAUGAGUCCGGUGCGAGCGUUUGGUGCCUAACCUGUUGGCAUUUCUUAACGUCAUCACUAAGAACAGGGUUUAAUCUGUCCUCAGCAACGAUGUCAGAAUUGUCAUGAUAACACUUACUAAUGCAAUCACCAAGAUUAGAGUAUAAAGCUAUCCUAAGCAACGGUGCCAGAAAUGCUUGUUAGCGUUUCUUAGCUUCGCCACCUAGAAUAGGGUUUUGCUCUACUCAUGAUAAUGAUAUUGGCAGUGUUAUAUUGGCAGAUCUGUAGCAUCACCAGCUUGAAUAGGAAGCUAGAUCUACCUUCCCAAUAACGGCGCCUUAUUACCGUUAGGGUAGGGUUCCAGUUCUUAAUCAUGGUAGUGGCACUAGGAUUGCCAUGUUGGUAUUCCUUAACAAGUCACUAGCUCGGCGCAUGUCUAGCAACAGUGUUAAGUAUAUACCGGGGUGAUAGUUCCUUAGGUUUGGAGUUUAAGUACCGCAAGCGGACGGGAAUUAUCGUGUAGCAUUUCAACCCGGGGAUUUACCGAGUGUCGUAUUUAUAGGUUCGCUCUAAGGAAGGCUUAAUAUGUUAAGGAUUCUAAGAUAAGCAUAGAUCAAAGUAAUUAUGAUAGGAAUAAUGGAAUCAAAGGUCAUAGCAGGUGAUAAACAUUUAUAUGUAGAAUAGUGAUCCAUCACAAUCUAGGCAUGGCAUAUGGGCUAAGGAAUAAAAAGAGACUAAAAGAAUGAAUUGAAUCAAAGAAUAAACAAACAACCUAUUAGAGCAGGUGUGGUCCUAGAUACAGAUCAUGUCAUAGAACAAGUUAAUCAUGUAAUUAUACUACUUAGAUCUAGUCCUGUGUUUAGAUGGUUUGGGAGGUUACGCGAGUACUGGUCUACCAACAACCUCCGCAACUAUUUAGACUCCUACACCCUAGCCGAAUGUGGGGGAAUGCUAAGGACGGACAGGGCUGUCACCACCUGCCACCAUCCCCUCAACCAUGGACUAGGACAAUGCAUUUACCCGGCCUUUACACCCAAGCACCAUGCUUACAUGCAAAGAACCUACUCGGACUCCCCCGGGUCCCUGACCCUACGGAUCGACAGGUAAGAAGCCCGAGCCUACUCAAAAGAGCAUGAUAAACCCCCAUCUUCACAAAAAGAUAUUUCUAGGCAAUUAAUUAACAUGAAGCAAUUAGACUAAAGUCCUAAGUGAGAAUAAUACAACAUACACUUAGCUCUAGUUCAUAUAAUACACUACUAGCCCUAGGGUAGCAUUAUACUAUAAGAACUAUAUACUAAAAUGUAUGUCAUAUCAUUUUCACUAGAACUAUAUUCUAGUUCAUAUGCUAGCAUCAUAAAAUAGGGCCUAUGAUCUAUGUCAUAUACCAUAGCAUAAGAACUAUACUCUAGUUCAUAUGAAGAACUAUAUCGGACAUGAUAAGGCAUGGACUUGGAGUAAAGAUAUUCUUUAUUCAUACCCAAGUUUCUCUCCAAGGAGCCAAGCCCUCCUUGAUAGCUCACCCAACUCUCUCUCUAAAAGCUAAAGGAAAAAACUAAGAAGAGGUAGUGCCCAAAUGCCUUGAAGGUGUAGUGUUGAUUGUGAAUGUGAUGAGAUGAAUGGAGCCUCCCUCUCCCCCUCCUUAAAUAGGUGGGGAAGGUCGGUUCUCCAGGGUGUAAACUGCAAUUUGCACGCGGGGACUGCGGGAGGAUAGGCUCAGCACCGCCUCUGCGAAAGGCGGUGCCGAGAUGGGCUGGGCCAGGGUCGGCCGACCCUAGGGGGCGGCCGCCCCCUGGUGGGCCCUGCUAGCCCCAGCCCGAAGCCCGUUGCCUUCCUCUCGGGCCCCUGAGUCCAGAUCCACCUGCAAAUUGAUGCACUUCUAUAUUGGGCUUUUGGGUACUUGUUUCUUUGCGCGUUUUUUGACGUGUCGGAUUGCGCCUUUUUAUUUGCUUUCCACCUGUAUGCCUGUAUAUGAUCUGCAAAAUACAACUUGCACUACAUGUGGAACUUGGUAAGCAUUUAAUAAGUAUAUGUGAGUAAAAUACAUGCUUUUCUUCCUUUGCAUGGACUAAGUUUGCAGGGUAAAUAUGUGAUUAAGAACUGCCAACAAACUCCCCCAAGCUUACCCCUUGCUCGUCCUCGAGCAAGAAGCUAAGAUCUUGGUUGUUGAUCAGGAGUUGCUACAAUAUUUUCACUUCUAUCCAGUACAUACCUUCAAACAAGGACUCUCCUUUGAAUUUUGAACAGAUGUGUCAUGCGGCUUAUUGCUCAUACCUCGAGUCCUUAAUCAUUUGUAGGAUGGAUUUGAUCAGAUCGAGCACUAUAUCCCUAGUUCUUUACUUCACUUUUGUUCCGGAGUUUUUUUUGAUUUUCAAAACUUAGCACAUUUAUUUGUCAAAUUAAACAAUGGAUCCAAAGAGAAAGUUAAUCAUACCAUUGAAUUUUUGAAAACUUUUUCUUUUCCAUCAUUCUCUUUUUGUCUAUUAGAGACACAUGGCUAUGUGGCUAAUUCUACUGUUGGGCACUUGCCCAUUUUUUUAUUCUUUCGAGGUUCCGGACGCAUGUCCCUUUUUAGUUUGUCGUGAUCUUUCUUUUUGAGGUUUCGGACACAUGUCCCUUUUUAUUUACUCGGAUGCUUUUUUUCUUUUUCAUAGCCAUAUGUCUUCUAACAAACUUUUGAGAUGAUAACAUAAUGAAAUAUUUUUGUUUUCAAUAGUAUGACAACCUCUCAAAGGGUCAACAAAGCUUAAUCUUACUCAAUGUGAUUUUUUUAUUUUUGUAAAAACUCCAGAACUCUAGCGUUGUUUAGAACAGGAUACUAGCAGCUCAGAUCAUCACAAAUAUAUCCAUUAAUUACUUUAGACUUUAGAUAUAGCAUUUUGCAACCCACGCAUUUAACCAUUUUAUUAAUUUGGAGAAUUCAAGGUUGAAACUAGAUACCGGAAAGAAAUUACGAUAGAGCAACUAUUCAUCAUUUCAAGAAGGAAGAAGCAUAUAUCUUACAUCACAUAUAAGAGUGGAAUUAUAUUUUUGUCUUUUUAGCAUUUUUCAUUUUUUUAUAUGCAAUAAUUAAAACAUGAAUUUAACUAAUGGAAAUUUCAUAAAGUAAACAUGCUAAUUUAAAAUUAAGGAUGCAUGAAAAUAAAUAUGCAAUGCAGAUAACCUCGGGAUUGGGGAUCCUCCCCCAAGCUAGCUUUUGGCCUACUGAUCGGGGUUGUACCCCAUGUACCGCCAGAAGUCUUGGCACUGUUUCAGCAGCUGAUCUUGGCGAGCUUGCAUUUCUUCUUGCUGCUGCUGGUGCCAGCCCUGUUGUUGCUGUUGCCAUAGAAACCCUUGCUUGUGCCACUCCACGGCCUGCUGGUGGUGCGCAUCGGUGGUUUGGAUGUGUUGUUGGAGAGUAUCCUGGAUCUCAUCCGUUCGCACCACCAGUCCCGCAAGCUGAGCUUGGAGGCGCUCCAAGUCGGUUCGGCCUACUGUGGAGGCCGAAGGAUGUUCUUCUAGUGAUUUGGCCCUCCAGUGCUACUGUUGUUCCCAAGCGCUGUAAUCCGCCUCAGCCCACCCCUCAACACCUUUUGUCGUCAUGGGUGUGUCCCACCCUGACUGGUAGAUCGGCUGUGUAUAGGAGGGUGGUGGCUGGGAGCUGGAUCCGCCGAUGUCCCUGCCAGAAACACUACGCCUUCGCGCAGUUUCAUCUGUCUACAGAUCAAAGGUUAGUCUCCCAGAGUUAUACAAGCGUAGACCUGGGUUAGGUAACCGGAUUACGUUUGUAUACCCUGGGAAAUAAAACACAAGACCGCCCGCAUUAUCUCUUUUCAAAUGGUGACCUUGGAUAAGAUAGGUUUCAUUAAUCAUGGUGCGUGGAAUUUGAAUAUAAUCAAGAUCUUGCCCUUCCAACGUGCCAAUGGGAGUGGCCACACGUGUUAUGAGUGAAGUCAAAGAGAUAGGGGUGGUUGUCUUGAUUAUAUCUAACCAAUGCCUUACAAUUUCUUGCACAGGCGCAACUUUUAUUUUCAAUCUAGCCGCGUAAAGUAACCUCAUUUCAUUUACUCGCACAGCGCGGGUAUCCUGGCUAGGAAACAUUGUUAUGGAUAGCCAAAGGUGUAAAAACCUUAGAGUGGGGUGUUGGAUGUGGGCAUUUCUAGGAUAGUAUUUUCCAGUGUGAACUUGCCCCGUGAUUUCUUCCCAAAAUUUAUCCUUAUUAAACCCUUUUGUGGCAUGCACUAAAUCAAGAGAGCAUCUUUGAUGAAAACCAUGGUAUUUCCUUAAGUCUUUCCAAAAGAUAGCAUAUUCAUUUUCAAAUAAACGAACAGAAAUACCUUCAUAUGUUUCUCUUAAAGUGCAUAGGAAUUGAAUGGUAAGGGUAUAGGAUCCAUACUCAGUUAUGGGGUGAAUGUUGUCCCACCCGGCGGCUUUCCAUAUGGAGAGGAAUUCAGAGUCUAUACCGAUGUCGGAGAGGAGCGAGUCGUCGUAGACCGGCGUAUGGAGGAAGAUCCGGUCCUUGAGCAUGUUGUAGGCUUAAUGUUCUCGAUCACCCACCAAGUCGAAUUGGUGGGCUCCUCCUUCUUCAUGUUGUUCCUCCUCUUGUUCCUCUUCUUCUUCCUCUACCUCUUCCUCUACCUCCUCGAUCUCUUGGGAUUCUUCCUCAGCGGAAGGACUCCAUCGGGGAUCGGUGUAGUAUGAGGAAGUGCUCCGAUAGGGGCGCUUCGAGGAUGACCUCGUGACUCUUUUAAAUGCCCCCGAAACUGUUUUGCCGAACCUUUUCAUGGUGCAAUGCUUGCACUAGUGGAUAGCUAGCUUGGAUAGGUGAUUUUUUUUGUGAGAUUUCUGCUGGUGGUUGGUUGGAAAUAGCAAAGAUGUGAAAGUGUUGCUUGGAGAGUGAAGAUGGAAGUGAUGAUGUGAAGUGAGAAUGGGUGGAGAGGGCCACACCCGAACCCCUGGUAUUUAUAGUUUGAAAAUGCAGGUGGAUUCGUGGUGAGGGCAACUGCUAGGAGCCUCCCCCAGCUGGCCGUUGGCCAAAGCCGUUGGGGGGGGUCGGCCGACCCAGGGGCAGCCGCCCCCUGGUGGGCCCCGCUGCUCCCCAGCUUUUGUUUCCAUCUUCCAACGGCUAGUUUUUGAAGUUUUCCGUUGGCACAUUGAUGCACUUCUAGCUGAAAAAAUGACUUUUGCAAUUUCCAACAUUUAUUUGUAAAAUUUUUAUUUUCGAAAAAUUUAGAAAAAAUAUUUUUCUAUUAUUUUAUUUUAUUUCCUAGUUGAAAAUGAAUUUUUGAAUAUUUUUCAAAUUUUAUAUAUAUAUAUAUAUUUUAAGAUAACUACCGAUUACCUUCGACGGAGGCUCAAAAAAAAUAUUUAUAGUCCUUUUUGAGAAGGACUCUCUUCCGUCGUUUGAAUUUCACCCUGCAAGGUUAGUGGGAGAGUUCUCGGGUUGCCCCGGGAGUCUACCCGCAUUCUCAGUAGGAAUUGCAGCGGCGAUCUGAGCUAGUUGUGUUUCUAUCAAUUCAUUAAAGCUUAGUUGGUUUUGUACGGAAAAGGCAAGGUUUCCUAUUUUUGUAUUUAUGUUUUCUAAAACCUUAUCAUUGGACAGCAACUUUUUAGUUAAGUUUUUAUUUAUUUUAGCUUGUCCAAGAACUAGGUCUUUUAAUGAAGGUUGAUUUGAAUUAAAACUCGAAUUACUUUGGAAUGAAGAGCGUGACUGAUUAUUCCAACCAUUACCUUGGUUGGCGCCUCCUUGUUGGCGGAACCCGUUGUUGAUGUAGGCAACGUCUUCACGGGUUUCGGGGCAAUCAUUCCCCGAAUGGCCAACUUCUCCACAGACCUCGCACAUCAUGUGCGAGUCUAUGGCCUUCACCGAGUUCGAGGGGUUCUCUUGGUUCCUCUCGGUGAGUUGCUUCAUAAAUAAAUCUAUUUUUGCGGCAAGCAUAUCCAUCUCCUUCACGGUAUGCAUGCCUUUUUGUGUUUUGGCAGCUGGGGGUUGAGUCCAGUUCUCCCUCCAGCUCUGGUGUUCUACCAUCUUCUCGAUGAGGGCCUUGGCCCCGGCGGUGGUAUGUGAUAGGAAAGCGCCUCUAGCGGCGGCGUCUAGGUGUCCCUUCGACAUGGGCGUGAGCCCAUUGUAGAAGUUCUGGAGCACCAUCCAGUUCUCCAUGCCGUGAUGGGGGCAGCUUAGGAUGUACUCUUGUAGCCGCUCCCAUGCUUCAGGGAUUAUUUCGUUGGCAUUUUGUUGAAAACUGGCAAUCCUUCCCCUCAAAGCAUUGGUUUUGCUUAUGGGGAAGAACUUGGUGAGGAAUGCCGCGGAGCAUUUUGCCCACGUGGUGAUAGCUUCCUUAUAUUGAUAGAACCACCUAUUCGCCUUCCCCACGAGGGAGAAAGGAAAGAGGCGGAGCCGAAUGACAUCAGGAGUGAUGUCCUUGAUGACAAUCGUGUCACAUAGCUCUAGGAAGUGUUGAAGGUGUGCAUUCGCAUCCUCGCUUGGCAAGCCACAGAAUGGGCUCGCCUGCACCAUGGUCAUCAGGCCGGUGCGUAGCUCGAUGUUCUUGCCAGCCGUGUCAACAGCGGGGCCAGUGGCCACGUUGGUGACAGCGGGCACGGAGAACUCGCGGAGUGUCUUCUCGGCGGCCAUGAGUUCGUUCGGGGUUGGUGCGGUAGCGGCUGGUUCACUUGUCGGUGGAGUAGCAGAUGACGAAACGGUUCGAGACCGUCUAGUCCUUAGGAGUGCCUUGGGAUCGGAGAUGUAGUUUUCCUGCAAAGAGAAACCAGGCAUACACUAUUCCUCCUGUUUCAUCCAUAACAGGAAGAAAACAGGCAGAGUUAGCCUGCAUAACAAUUGACUCAUUACGCACAUCAGAUUACUUGAUUAUAUUUAUCUAGAAUCAUUUUCAUAUUAGCCUUCCCCGGCAACGGCGCCAGAAAUGCUUGUUGGCAUUUCUUAACGUCAUCACUAAGAACAGGGUUUAAUCCGUCCUCAGCAACGAUGUCUGAAAUGUCAUGAUAACACUUACUAAUGCAAUCACCAAUAUUAGAGUAUAAAUCUAUCCUAAGCAACGGUGCCAGAAAUGCUUGUUAGCGUUUCCUAGCGUCGCUAUCUAGAAUAGGGUUCUGCUCUACUCAUGAUAAUGACAUUGGCAGUGUUAUACUGGCAGAUCCGUAGCAUCACCACCUUGAAUAGGAAGCUAGAUCUACCUUCCCGAUAACGGCGCCUUAUUACCGUUAGGGUAGGGUUCCAGUUCUUAAUCAUGGUAGUGGCACUAGGAUUGCCAUGUUGGUAUUCCUUAACAAGUCACUAGCUCGGCGCAUGUCUAGCAACAGUGUUAAGUAUAUACCGGGGUGAUAGUUCCAUAGGUUUGGAGUUUAAGUACCACAAGCGGACGGGAAUUAUCGUGGAGCAUUUCAACCCGGGGAUUUACUGAGUGUCGUAUUUAUAGGUUCGCUCUAAGGAAGGCUUAAUAUGUUAAGGAUUCUAAGAUAAGCAUAGAUCAAAGUAAUUAUGAUAGGAAUAAUGGAAUCAAAGGUCGUAGCAGGUGAUAAACAUUUAUAUGUAGAAUAGUGAUCCAUCACAAUCUAGGCAUGGCAUAUGGGCUAAGGAAUAAAAAGAGACUAAAAGAAUGAAUUGAAUCAAAGAAUAAACAAACAACCUAUUGGAGCAGGUGUGGUCCUAGAUACAGAUCAUGUCAUAGAACAAGUUAAUCAUGUAAUUAUACUACUUAGAUCGAGUCCUAUGUUUAGAUGGUUUGGGAGGUUACGCGAGUACUGGUCUGCCAGCAACCUCCGCAAGUAUUUAGACUCCUACACCCUAGCCGAACGUGGGGGAAUGCCAAGGACGGACAGGGCUGUCACCACCUGUCGCCAUCCCCUCAACCAUGGACUAGGACAAUGCAUUUACCCGGCCUUUACACCCAAGCACCAUGCUUACAUGCAAAGAACCUACUCGGACUCCCCCGGGUCCCCGACCCUACGGAUCAACAGGUAAGAAGCCCGAGCCUACUCAAAAGAGCAUGAUAAACCCCCAUCUUCACACAAAGCUAUUUGUAGGAAAUUAAUUAACAUGAAGCAAUUAGACUAAAGUCCUAAGUGAGAAUAAUACAACAUACACUUAGCACUAGUUCAUAUAAUACACUACUAGCCCUAGGGUAGCAUUAUACUAUAAGAACUAUAUACUAAAAUGUAUGUCAUAUCAUUUUCACUAGAACUAUAUUCUAGUUCAUAUGCUAGCAUCAUAAAACAGGGCCUAUGAUCUAUGUCAUAUACCAUAGCAUAAGAACUAUACUCUAGUUCAUAUGAAGAACUAUAUCGGACAUGAUAAGGCAUGGACUUGGAGUAAAGAUAUUCUUUAUUCAUACCCAAGUUUCUCUCCAAGGAGCCAAGCCCUCCUUGAUAGCUCACCCAACUCUCUCUCUAAAAGCUAAAGGAAAAAACUAAGAAGAGGUAGUGCCCAAAUGCCUUGAAGGUGGAGUGUUGAUUGUGAAUGUGAUGAGAUGAAUGGAGCCUCCCUCUCCCCCUCCUUAAAUAGGUGGGGAAGGUUAGUUCUCGAGGGUGUAAACUGCAAUUUGCACGCGGGGACUGCGGGAGGAUAGGCUGAGCACCGCCUCUACGAAAGGCGGUGCCGAGAUGGGCUGGGCCAGGGUCGGCCGACCCUAGGGGGCGGCCACCCCCUGGUGGGCCCCACUGGCCCCAGCCUGAAGCCUGUUGCCUUCCUCUCGGGCCCCUGAGUCCAGAUCCACCUGCAAAUUGAUGCACUUCUAUGUUGGGCUUUUGGGUACUUGUUUAUUUGCACAUUUUUUGACGUGUCGGAUUGCGCCUUUUUAUUUCCUUUCCACCUGUAUGCAUGUAUAUGAUCUGCAAAACACAACUUGCACUACAUGUGUGUUGACGAUCCUUAAGUAUCAAAUUUAAUUAUCAAAUAAACAAAGAAAAGGAUCUAAAUGAAAUCAACAUCUAGACUUAGGGUUUUAUCUGACAGAAUUCCACGAGUUUUGGUGUUUGUCUAUUUCUACAGGGGGUUAUCAGGAAAUACGGAAGAAAGGCCCACACGUCGGGAUUACAUAGAGAUAUCAACGUGCCGCGCAAUUAUUUUACAUCUAGAAGACUCCAGAAGCCACGGGAAGGAAGCGGAGGCCGAACGGAGCCAGGACCUGGGCGCCCGCCCAAGUCCUUAGGGCGCCCGCCCUGCUACAGUGGCCAAUCACGUUCAACCUCGCGGAUUAUGCUCCACCGACCUAAAGGAUCAAGAAUAACCGUUCAAUCAAUGUCGGUUUGAUCCGACGGCCCAGGUUCACUUGAGGGGACUAUAUAACCAGACCCCUGGCCCCUAGAGGAGGCACCCCUUGAUCAUUAUUCAUUAUUCAUAGACAGAGCAAAAGCUAGGGUUUAGAGAUGAGAGCUCUCCUCUCUUCUCUAAACUAGAGUAGAUCUAGAUAGUAGCAAGAUGGAGAGCGAAGGAGGAUUAGAGGAGAGGCCGGCCUGUCGGUUCUUCCUCCGGUUGUACUUCGCCAUGAUCAAGCUCUAAUCAAGCUUGCUCAUGGGAUGACUCUGGUAAUCUACUUCUAAUUCAUUAUGCAAUUACUAAUCAUGUAUGUUCUGGUUCACAACUCUUUUGAGUACUUCUAAUCUAUAGGACCCUAUAGGUUAGAGUUGUAGUAUAGGUGUAAGCGUGGUGCUUAGACCUAGAUUACUUGUGGAUAUCCCCUGACUAGCUGGAUUGUGUGGUAGGCCGCGUAGGUGACAGUUACGUUGGUUCCCUGUAGUCCACCUCUCGUUAGCAGGACGGGUAGGGUUUAUCGGCCUAUGGAUAAGCAUCCUUUGUGGUGUACUCUUAUCACGUGGUUCGUCCCAGACAUAGACAUACCCCUUUGAAGUAGAGAAACCAUAGUUAUCCUCUCUAUUCUGCUACCAUCGCCCAUAUACUAGAAUUGCUCUACUCUCUAUUCCCAUAUUAUCACUCACUGUUAUCUUACCUUUAAUAUUGUUCUUAUUCGAUUCUACCAUCUUUCCUAUUCACACCUAUUUACUUAUCUUGGUUAAGUUAGAGCGUAGAUCAGUUCUCCCGUUUCCCUGUGGAUACGAUAAAACCUUUAACCGGGUAAAAGCUUCAACGGUAUCCGUGCGCUUGCGGAUUAUCUGUGUGCGUAUAAAUACCAUAAUACACUCUAGUGCCAUGCUGGGGAUGACAACCUAGUAUUCAAGUGGUGUUAGUAAGUGUCAACAAGCAUUUUUGGCGCCGUUGCCGGGGAAACGGUUGCUGAGUUGACUAUGAACUAGUUUAAUCAUUUUAUAAAAAAUAAAUAAAUAAAAAUAUAUAUAUAUAUAUUUUCCUUUUAUCCUUUGCCUCAUCUCUGCUAUUCUUUCUUCUUAUCUAAUCCUUGAUCUCUGGUCUAUUAUGAAUUCAAACAUGUCUAUCUAUGAAUUUCAUAGACCUAUGGGCACACAUCUCGAACCACCAAAAUCUUCAAAGCCUAUCAUAGCAUCUAGUUUUGAGAUAGACCCCGAAUACAUAGAAUUUAUUCAAAAACAACCUUUCUCAGGAAAAGGUGAGGAAAACCCAUACACACACCUAAGAGAGUUUUAUCGAGUCUGUGACCUCCUUCGCAUAGAAGGCAUGUCCGAUGAGACCCUUAAAUGGAAGCUCUAUCCGUUCUCUUUAACGGGAAAAGCUAGACAUUGGUAUAAACUCAAAGUAGGGAGUGUUCAUGGAGAUUGGAAGGAGUUAUAUAGUAGUUUUCUUUCUAAAUAUUUUCCAAUCUCCAAAGUGGUGGAACUUCGGCGUGAGAUUAUUUCUUUCAGACAACUGGAAGAAGAAUCUCUUGGCAAAUCAUGGGACCGCUUUAUUAACCUUACUCUCACUGGCCCAAAACUUUCUAUUCCAGAAGAAGUUCUUCUAAUGCACUUUUUUGAGGGCCUUAGUAUGGAAAAUAAGCAAACCCUUCAUGCGGCCUCUGGAGGAUCUUUCCACCACCUAUCCGCUAGUGAAGCUUGGAAUUUGAUUGAUUUAAUGAGCGGAAAGUCUCCUAGCUUUUAUAUCCCUGAGAAAGAGAAAGAACCUAUUCCUAGACAAGAAGAAGAAGUUUCGAUAUCCAGAUCACAACCACUUCAAUCCCAAACUUUAGCUAUCGAUCCUAAACCAUCAAUACCCCAAAAUUCUCCAAGGGAGGAAGGAAUUCCGACCUUAAAUCUUUUAGAUGCUAAUGGUUUAGACUUCUGGUUCUAUAAGAGACCUUCAAGCAGGGAUAAUUCAAAUCCUUGCAAUAAUUUUUCUCUUAGAGAAUGUCCUGGUUCCUAUCAUGAAGAAGUCGAGGAUGACAUAUCAAGUGAAGGAGAGCUAAACCAUAUAGACAAUUCUAUCUACUCCCCUUCCAUGUUCACAAGUUCUAAAUCCAUCCUUGACCUUAGAGAUCCCUCUUAUCCCUCUUCUUUUCAGUCUCAUGAUGAUCCUAGCAAUUCACCAAGACGACCAAACCAUAGGAGUCAUGAAGACCAUAAGGAUGGCAUGUCAAGUAAUGCCAUAGAAGGAGAGCUAAGCCAUAUAGAAAAUUCUAACACCUCCCCUAUUUUGAUCACAAGUUCUAAAUGGCUAGAAUGUGUAGAAUGGAUGGAUAAGGAAGAAGCCUUAAUAGGUUCUGACUUUGGCUCAAUUUCAAAUGGUGAGUUCUUGACUCCCUUUGAAGAUGAGAUUCAUCCAACUACAGAAGAGGACAUAGGUGAGACCAAUCCAGGAGAAACUCCGAACAUUCAGAUUAGAGACGAAGAUAACAUUAAUGAGCAUGGAAUUUAUUUCAUAGCCACUUCGUUUACUCCAUGCUCAUAUGCAACAUCUUCCCAAUCUAUUGGUCUCUCCGACAUCACCACACUUGAGAUCUCCAACCCCCACUUCCUUUCUAUUUAUAAAAACUUCAAAAGGGCGGUUGUCGAUGCAUAUGUCUAUAAUAAAUAUUGCAGAUCUUGUUGAGUUGAUCUUGAUUUAGGUCAGCGUUGGAAGGGAAACCACUUCGCCGACAUAAAUUGAUGGUUUCCCAAGGACAAGCUUGGUGUUCUAAAAUAAGCGCUGAUCAGAUCGUAACAUGAGUUUUUAAUUAUUUGCAACAUUACCUUGUGUAUUGAGCAUAUAAGGAUAAUUGUAAAAAUAUUCCUUCGGGUAUUCUUGUCACUAACCUUUCUAGGAUUGGAGCAAGAAGAUCAGAUGAAUGACAAGCACAAGGUAUGUCCAACCAAUCAUCAUGCAACACUGAAUUAAAUUCAUCCAAACUUGAAUUCUACAAAAUUCAAGCUUGGGGGAGUACUUUACAUAAAAACAUCCUUUGCCAUAUUGCUAUGUUGGUUGUCCCUACCUUUGAGACAUGCUCAAUUUGUUAAAUACUAAUCACACUACUUCAUCUCCACUUGAGUAGAUCUCUAUAAAUGCUGUCAUGCUACCUUUGUCUAUUUACUAGCAAGUGUUGGUUUGGAAGUACUCGCCAUACUUCCAUUGGCUUUUAAAUUAAGCAUGGUGCUUAGGUUAAGCAGCCUUCCUUAAUCUGAUUAGACAUGGAGUCUAGUUCGGUUAUUGAACUAAAAACUGCUUGUGUAGACAUUGGUAUAUUUUUGUCGGACUAACCCCUGUAGAAAAACUUUCAAUAUCGAUUUGGGAAGUCUUGAGAUAAACUCACAUCAGAGACGAAGAGAGUGACACAUGAAGUUUAACAAAUUGCACAAGAAGGACAUAGCUCAUUCAUCAUAGAGAGAUGAUCUAUGGAGGGUGCCACAAACACGAUGCACAACCGCUAAGAAAUGAAAGCUUCCACAAGGUGAUACUGUACCAUCACUCUUCAAGCAAGGUAACAUCUUAAGUUACUUGACUAUCACUUUUAUAAGCUACUCCUUGGUUCUGGCGUUCAUAUAAAUAAAAGAGACAAACAUGUAUGAUUUACAACUCUAGAUUAACCAACCCAACUGAUUCAGCAUGUUUAGUCCUUUAAUCCUUGUUCCUAGUACUACCUCCAUGAUCCCACACUCCUAAUCAUAUGAGCUAAAAUGUUACACACUCAAUCUUUGAGAGAUAUAAAGAAAAAGACAUAUACAUAGAUAGAUUAUCUUUCCAUAAGGUUGAGCGAUCUGAUCUGACAAAUGUUAUAAGUGCUACACUCAUGAACUUUUCAUCCAUCAACUUUGUCUUGCUCACUAUGCUUAGGGUUAGAGAAGAACAAAUACACUUUUGGUUCUGUUGGUGUUUUCCACCAACAGGGCCCACGCACUUGAUCUCUGCCUUGUCUCUAUGAGCAGGUACAGUUUGAGCAAAACACGGAGGAGUUUUAUAACUCUCAGACUCUACCAAGGGAAGGACCUGGAUCUACGAGCACAAACACACUGAGCAGGUUACUGCCAAUGCCGCACUUCGAACUACUGGGCAAACGAAGAACAUGGGUGACACCGUAUUAGGAGGUGCAGACGUCGAGGUCCAUACCUGAAUCAAAUGACGCACCUGAAGAAUGAAGACGGUGAGAAGUCUUGUUCAGAAGACUUAAAACAUUGAAUCCUCGCAGAAAGGUAAGAUCGGUAGUUAUCCAUAUUUAUCCUUUCUGCAUUCCCGUUUCCCUUUAAUUAUUUACUUUCCUUAAAUAGAUUAUUAGUUAAUCAUGCUAUCUUGAAAAGAAAAUAAAAAUGUUAAAAAAUACUAAGCCCCAUGUGAGUAUACGAGUGGCAUAAAACCCAUAAGUACCUUCACUGUGGUGGUAUAAAAAUAAAAUAAAUAUUUCUUUUCUGCUUUAUAAAAUAAAAAAACAGGGACUAAUAUUUAUUGAGGAAUCUCAACAUGAUGAAGGCUAGAUAUUUAUGCUAACACUUAAUUAGUUCCACAAGCUUUGUUGUCUAUUUGAGCUCCACAGAAUUUAAGAAUCAAGAAGACUAGCAGACGGAGGACAUUCUAAUCGCUGUCAGAAUGCUGCUGACUUUCAAAUACACCUCUGCCACCUGCUAGCUACAUCAAGAGAAAUUACGUCAAAAUUCAGCUUGGGGGAGAGCAGCCCCAUUUAUCUCAGUAAGUAUUUCUACCUAUCUUUAUACUUAUAUUAUAUUAGAAUAUUAAAAUACAUAAACUAUGAAAAACCAAAUAAAGAUUUUGUGCUUAUAUAUAUAUAUAUCUUUUGCUUAGUGUAUUUAAUAAUGGAUAUGAUGAAUAGUUGCUCUGCCUAAUUUGCAAAUUUGAAGUUCUCUCUCAAGUUUAGACAUAACUGUUAUAAUUUAAAGCUUGCUCUAGAUCUAAACUUGUGGGAUGAAAACUUGAUGUGAAAUCUAAGUUGUUAACGGAUAUGAUAUGGGAAGGUUUAGCUGCUGUUUAUCUGUUCCUAGAGAUGCUAGAAUUCUAGAGAAUUUUAUCUUUAAAAAAUCUUUAAAAUAUUGCAUGAUGAGUUUCUGUAUGAUGAGAGUUUAAAUUCCUACCACAACCAUAUAUAUACAUGCUUACUAGACUUUGAGCCACACAUUUAUUAUUUACUGCUUAUGAGCAUUGAGUGUGGUCAAGCUAUGUAGACCCUUAGGAGCUUGUCAUGUGGUUAACUCAAGAUUCACUUGCACGUUCACUCAUAUAUGCUACUUCUACUCCGGAAGUACCAUCCACAUAUAUCCAUCCAUAUCCAUCUCCAGAACCACCCAAAAAUAUUCUACUCCUAAUUCGGGAGAGAAUAGCCAAAAAUAUUUCUAUUUUCCCUUGUGAAAUAAAUGCUCAAGUUAUCUUGCUACUACCACUUGCUAUAUUAUCUCAAGAGAUGAGUGCUCUGAAAUAAAAAAGAAAAAAAAUAAUAAACGAGGAAAUAAAAAGGGGCAAGUGCUCGGAACCUCGAAAGAAAAAAAAAGGGUGAGACGAGAGGUAAAAAUGGACAAGUGUCCGACGGUAGAAUUAGGGGUACAAGAUAUCCACCUGAGAGGAAAGAAAAAGAAGAGCAUCUCAUUCUCCUCAUAAAGUUUCAAAAAGCAAGGAAGGUAUGUAUCCCCUCAAAAGAGCAAAAGUAGAAUUAGACUUUCACCAUUGUUAUCACCAUCAUCACCAUACACCAUUCAUUCGCUACACAUGCACAUCUUGAUUUGGCUUAUUGAUUUGUUUCUUUGGACCCAUGGUUUGACUACACAAUAAAUGUCUUGUAAGUAUGUAUAAUUUAUCUCCCACCUAUGAGGUCCAGAUAUUAAAGCCUUAUUAGAGUAGGGUGAGAGAGAAGGCAAUGUCACUAUGCCUUAUACCACAAAUACCACAUAUCUUGAGAGAAGGCAUAUCAUCACUGCCUUGGUAAGGAUCCAGAAAUACCACAAAAGAGAGAUUUAGAGAGUCAUACAAGGAAUCUCUGAGUUUUAUUUGAAAAUCUGCAAAAACUCCAGAGCUAUAGCUGAUCAAGGAUAAGAGACAUGGCACUUGGCUAGACUGUUCUAUCUUUUAACUACUCAAGAUAGAAGUGACGGUUACAAGUCCCAUGGUGAAAGGUAAAGUAAGUAAGUUUUAAGUCUUGACAAUUUACUCUAACUCAAAGAUGAGACCUCAUUUAAAAGCAUGUGUACCGUCAAUUUUUUAAGAUAUUGCAACAACUUCUGAUCCAUUGCUGAGUCUAUCCUUGCUCAGGGACGAGCAAGAGGUAAGCUUGAGGGAGUUUGUUGAUGGUCCUUAAGUAUCAAAUUUAAUUAUCAAAUAAACAAAGAAAAGGAUCCAAAUGAAAUCAACAUCUAGACUUAGGGUUUUAUCUGACAGAAUUCCACGAGUUUUGGUGUUUGUCUAUUUCUGCAGGGGGUUAUCAGGAAAUACGGAAGAAAGGCCCACACGUCGCGAUUACAUAGAGAUAUCAACGUGCCGCGCAAUUAUUUUACAUCUAGAAGACUCCAGAAGCCACGGGAACGAAGCGGAGGCCGAACGGAGCCAGGACCUGGGCGCCCGCCCAAGUCCUUAGGGCGCCCGGCCUACUACAGUGGCCAAUCACAUUCAACCUCGCGGAUUAUGCUCCACCGACCUAAAGGAUCAAGAAUAACCGUUCAAUCAAUGUCGGUUUGAUCCGACGGCCCAGGUUCACUUGAGGGGACUAUAUAACCAAACCCCUGGCCCCUGGAGGAGGCACCCCUUCAUCAUUAUUCAUUAUUCAUAGACAGAGGAAAAGCUAGGGUUUAGAGAUGAGAGCUCUCCUCUCUUCUCUAAACUAGAGUAGAUCUAGAUAGUAGCAAGAUGGAGAGCGAAGGAGGAUUAGAGGAGAGGCCGGCCUGUCGGUUCUUCCUCCGGUUGUACUUCGCCAUGAUCAAGCUCUAAUCAAGCUUGCUCAUGGGAUGACUCUGGUAAUCUACUUCUAAUUCAUUAUACAAUUACUAAUCAUGUAUGUUCUGGUUCACAACUCUUUUGAGUACUUCUAAUCUAUAGGACCCUAUAGGUUAGAGUUGUAGUAUAGGUGUAAGCGUGGUGCUUAGACCUAGAUUACUUGUGGAUAUCCCCUGACUAGCUGGAUCGUGUGGUAGGCCGCGUAGGUGAUAGUUACGUUGGUUCCCUGUAGUCCACCUCUCGUUAGCAGGACGGGUAGGGUUUAUCGGCCUAUGGAUAAGCAUCCUUUGUGGUGUAUUCUUAUCACGUGGUUCGUCCCAAACAUAGACAUACCCCUUUGAAGUAGAGAAACCAUAGUUAUCCUCUCUAUUCUGCUACCAUCGCCCAUAUACUAGAAUUGCUCUACUCUCUAUUCCCAUAUUAUCACUCACUGUUAUCUUACCUUUAAUAUUGUUCUUAUUCGAUUCUACCAUCUUUCCUAUUCACACCUAUUUACUUAUCUUGGUUAAGUUAGAGCGUAGAUCAGUUCUCCUGUUUCCCUGUGGAUACGAUAAAACCUUUAACCGGGUAAAAGCUUCAACGGUAUCCGUACGCUUGCGGAUUAUCUGUGUGCGUAUAAAUACCAUAAUACACUCUAGUGCCAUGCUGGGGAUGAUAACCUAGUAUUCAAGUGGUGUUAGUAAGUGUCAACAAUGUGGAACUUGGUAAGCAUUCAAUAAGUAUAUGUGAGUAAAAUACAUGGUUUUCUUCCUUUGCAUGGACUAUGUUGGCGGGGUAAAUAUGUCAUUAAGAACCGCCAACAUAACCCUACGCACCCAGUCACUCUGACUCGAAUCAACCUCACCGAACGCUCGAUCCAAAAUGUGAUAUUUCCAAAACGAAGUUUGUUCCUCUCGAUCUAAGGACUUCUUCUAAGCUACCUAGUGCUAGGUUUACCAAGUGUGUAGCACACCUAAACCUAAAGCCUUGCCAAGGUCAAGCCACCCAUACAACGCCCAUGUUAAUAGUACGAUCAAAGGAAAACAAGUCCUAAACUUCUCUAAGUGCCCUUCUUCACCAUAUGGCACUUAGACCUAGUCUAGUCUUGACGAUGUCCAACCAUCCUUUGAAAACUGAAAUGAUUUCCACCACUAAGUAGGCAUGAACGUCCUAGUCCAAAUGCAACUAACACCUAGACUUAGGGUUUCAUCUGACAGAAUUCCAUGAGUUUUGGUGUUUGUCUAUUUCUGCAGGGGGUUAUCAGGAAAUAUGGAAGCAAGGCCCACAUGUCGGGAUUACAUAGAGAUAUCAACGCACCGCGCAAUUUUCUACCAUCUAGAAGACUCCAGAAGCCACGGGAAGAAAGCAGAGGCCGAAAGGGGCCAAGCCCAGGGCGCCCGCCCUGAGGACCUGGGCGCCCGCCCUGUCCUGGACUCCGUUCGGGACUCUCUUCGCACACGAUGUUCCACCGACCUAAAGGAUCAAGGAUAACGUAGUACCACAUCGCCUACCGACCCAAAAACACAUAGAGGAGGAGGACUAUAUAAGGAGACCCCCCUGGCCCCUGGAGAAGACAAGAAGUUAUCAUAGAGAUUGAGGGGUGCCCUCGAAGGAAAACCUCUUCUCUAAAUAAUAUUUCUUUUUAGGCUUAGCAACCAAUGUAAGUAGAAAUAGAUCUUCUAGUUCUACUAGAUUGAGAGAGAUAGAGUGGAGGUGUAGAUCGGAGGAAGGCCGGUCUGUCGGUGUCUACUCCGAGGAUGUACCUACGGGAUCAAGUCUUGUAACCCGAGGCUUGCUCCUAAGAAUCUUCAGUAGACUUCUAAUUCUAGUAAGUUCUUGUUUUAUUGUUCUUUGGUUUAUGAGUUUACUUUAAUCCUCUUUCGGUUGAGUAUUAGAGUAAUCAUUGCUAGCGUAAACGUGGUGUUUAGGCUAGGGUACUCAUAGAUAUCCCCUGACUAGCUGGACCGUGGUAGGAGCGAGGAACGUGACAUUUCCGAGUUACCUUUGUAUCCCAUAUCUUGUUAGCAGGACGGGUAGGUUUAUAGGUGCGGGUCGAACAUCCUUUGUGGUGUCUAGAUUCCGUAAGCUUCCCCAAUAGAACAGUAGAUCAUCCUUACCAAGGUUGGAAUGAGUACGGUUGCAGUCUUCUCUAUACAUCACUCACAUCGAGAAACAUUCUUUGUAGCCUAAAGGGAUAGUAGCUAUAGAUUUGGUUAGUCUGAUGCACCCUUUCUCCCAAUGGUAAAAAUAUAAAUACGAUAACUCUGGAUAAUCUCCCGGGUGAAAUGCUCACCGAUAUCCGUGCGCUUGCGGAUCAUUUCCUUAUUGCGUUACAAAAUAUCAACAAGCAUUUCUGGCACCGUUGCGAGGGAGAAAGACGGUUUGCUGAGAUAACUUUGAGUCUUGCUAUUAUCUUGUAUUAUACUUUUAUACUUUUAUUCUUUUAUCAUUUUAUUUUUAUCUUUAUGGAUAACUUAAAUUCCAUACCUAUUAUUGAAUUCUUUGCACCUUUGGAGACCAGCCAUAGACCAUGGGAGUCAACAAGUCCUGCCCCUAAUUAUGAUCUGUGUCCGGAGUUGAUUGCAAUAGAUCAAAACCAACCCUUUUCUAUAGCCGAGGUCCUAUCUUUUAAUAAAGAAGAUAAUGCACUUUUAGCUACACCUAGGGAAUCUAUUAAUCUUUCUAUAAAUUCUGGUUUAGACCUAGCCCUACAAGACCAUGUUUUUUCUCGAUAUUUUCACAUUAGUCUUAAUCAUAUAACCUUUGGUAGAGUCUUUCUUUCUUUAUCUAUAAGUAAAGGAAGGUAUGUCUUCAUUUGUGGACAUCCUUCUUGGACUAGUCUUCAUAAAAAAAUCCUAGAGAUAGAGAAGGAAUCAUCUCCCAGAUGAGGAAAGGAAGUUUCAAUAGCCAAUUUCCAAACAAUCCAAUCCCAGCCUAUCCAACCCAUCCUUGAGCCUAAUAACUUCUACUAUGCUCUUUCUCCUGAACCUCCCAAUGAUCCUGUGAAUCUCUCUAGACAUCCCAUCCAUAAGAGUCACCAAGACCACAAGGAGGAUCGAGAAGAGCAACAUCAAUGGCUAGAGGGUAUUAAAAAUCCAUGUGCUAUCACCAUAUUUGAGAUCUCCAACCCUCUCUUCCUUUCUAUUUAUAACAACUUUAAAAGAGCGGUUGUCGAUGCAUAUGUCUAUAAUAAAUAUUGCAGAUCUCGUUUAGUUGAUUGAUGGUUUCCCAAUGACAAGCUUAGUGUAAUAAAACAAGCACUUAUCACAUCAUGACAUGAACUGCUAAUUAUUUGCAACAUUGCCUUGUGUAUUGAGCAUAUAAAGAUAAUUGUAGAAAUAUUCCUUCGGGUAUUCUUGUCACUAACCCUUCUAGGAUUGGAGCAAGAAGAUCCGAGGAAUGACAAGCACAAGGUAUGUCCAGCCAAUCAUCAUGCAACAUUGAAUUAAAUUCAUCCAAUCUUGAAUUUUGCAAAAUUCAAGCCUGGGGGAGUACUUCACAUAAAAACAUCCUUUGCCAUGUUACUAUGCUGGUUGUUCUUACCUUUGAGACAUGCUCAAUUUGUUAAAUACUAAUCACACUACUUCAUCUCCACUUGAGUAGAUCUCUAUAAAUGCCAUCACGCUACCUUUGUUUAUCCUAGUAAGUGUUAGUUUGGAAGUACUGCACAUACUUCUAUUGGCUUUUAAAAUAAGCAUGGUGCUUAGGUUAAACAGCCUUCCUUAAUCUGAUUAGACAUGGAGUCUAGUUCGGUAAUUGAACUAAAAAUUGCUUGUGUAGACAUUGGUAUAUUUUGUUGGACUAACCCCUGCAGAAAAACUUUCAAUAUCAAUUUGGGAAGUCCUGAGAUACAAACUCACAUUAGAGAUAAAGGAGACACAUGAAAUUUAACGACAUGCACAGGGAAGACAUAGCUCAUUCAUCAUAAAGAGAUGAUCCAUGGAGGGUGCCACAAACACGAUGCACAACUGCUAAGAAAGGAAAGCUUCCACAAGGUGAUACUAUACCAUCACUCUUCAAGUAAGGUAACAUCUUAAGGUACUUGACUAUCGCUUUUAUAAGCUUCUCCUUGGUUCUGGCGUUCACAUAAAUAAAGAGACAAACAUGUAUGAUUUAUAAUUCUAAAUUAACCAACCUAACUGAUUCAGCAUGUUUUGUCCUUUAAUCAUUGUUCUUAGUACUACCUUCGUGAUCCUACACUCCUAAUCAUAUAAGCUAAUAUGUUGCACAUUCAAUCUUUGGAAGAUAUAAACAAAACAUAAAUAUAGAUAGACUAUCUUUCCAUUAGGUUGAGCCAUCUGAUCUGACAAAUGUUUCAAAUGCUACACUCAUGAUCCAUCAACUUUGUCUUGCUCACUAUGCUUAAUGUUAGAGAAGAACAAUUACACUUCUGGUUCUGUUGGUGUUUUCCACCAACAGGGCCCAUGCACUUGAUCUCUGCCUUGUCUCUAUGAACAGGUACACUUCAAGCAAAACAUGGAGGAGUUUUACAACUCCCAGACUCCACCAAGGGAAGGACCUGGAUCCAUGAGCACAAACACACUGAGCAGGAUAUUGCCAACACCGCACUUCGAACUGCUAGGCAAUCAAAGAACAUAGGUGACACCGUAUCAAGAAGUGCAGACGUCAAGGUCCACACCUAAUCAAAUGAUGCACCUAAAGGAUGAAGACAGUGAGAAGUCUUGUCCAGAAGACUUAAAACUUUGGAUCCUUGUCGGAGGAGGUCAAGAUCGUCGACUCAAGUCACCUUUCUUGAUCAAGAAGGACGACCCUGGUGUUCCAAGCAUUGAGUGCACAAUCAACAGAUACUCUUUUUAGAAGACACUCUACGACACCGGAUCUGAUGUCAACAUAAUGGCUGCAGUCACUUAUUAGCUCCUGCAUGGAACCAUGCCCCUACAACCAAUAUAUAUUCAGCUCCAGAUGAUUUUCAGAUCAUUGACAUGGGAGAAGACGAGUACGAUCCACCCAUCAUCCUUGGAAGACCAUCCCUCAACACUAUCAAAGUUAUCAUCUACAUUGGAAUCGGAUAAGUCCACGUGUACUUCCCCUCUGAGGAGGUAAGCCGCUAUUUUACUGACCCUAACUAUAUAGUUGAAGACUCUAAGCAGGUCAGGACAAGAAGAAGACAACGCAACUGCAACCAGAGGAGGCAAAUCAUCAAGGACGGAUGGGUAGACUACGAAGGCGAAGUGAUAAGGUCUGAAGACAUAUAGCUUGAACAGAACUGUCCUGAGGAGACCGUAGCACCGAGUCAGGUGUGGAGAGAGAAGAUAGUUACACACGAAGAGGAGGCGCCGCCGGAACCACCGACUACGCCAUCCAGCGAAUCCCAAGACGACUGAGAAAACGGAGAGUCCCAUUCGGAGGAUUUAAAAAUACCGAACGCCUUGCCAAGAGCUAAACUUGGUAGUUAUCCUUUUUCUUUCAAUUAUUCAAUUAUAGUUUGCUUAGUUAAUCAGGUUCAUAUCAUCUCGAAAAGAAAAUAAAAAUGUUAAAAAUAGUAAGCCCCAUGUGAGUAUGCUCAUGGCAUAAAACUCAUAAGUACAUUCACUGUGGUGGCAUAAAAAUAAAAUAAAUAAGUUUUCAUCUUACAAUAAAAAUAUAAAAAUAAUAAGUGCAUGAUUCUGCUAAAUAAGUAACAUUUAUUGAGGAGGCUCAACAUGAUAAAGGCUAGAUAUUUAUGCUAACACCUAACCAGUUCCACAAAGCUUUGUUGUCUAUUUGAGCUCCACAGAGUUCAAGCAUCAAAGAAGACUAGCAGACGGAGGACAUCCUAAUCGCUGUCAGGGUGCUGCCGACAUUCAAAUACACCUCCGCCACCUGCUAGCUACAUUAGAAGAAAUUACGUCAACUUGGGGGAGAGCAACCCCAUUUAUCGAGCUAAGUGUUUCUACUCGCGUUUAUACUUUACUCAAAUAAUAAAAAGAUGCAUAAUCAUGAAAACCCAAAUAAAGAUUUUGUGCUUUUAUAUAUAUCUUUGCUUAGUUUGCUAAAUAAAUAAAUAAAUAAAGUUUGCUUUGAACACUCAUGAUAAACUCUCACAUGGAAAUGAUGAAUAGUUGCUCUGCCAUGACUAGUUCUUAAAAUUGAAAUCUCUCUCACGUUUAGGCAUGACUAUUAUGAAGUAAGAUUUGCUCUAAACCUGAACUUGUGGGAAGAGUACUUGAUCUAAAGUCUAAGUCGUUAACGGAUAUGAUAUGGGAAGGUUGAGCUGCUGUUUAUCUAUUCCUAGAGAUGCUAAAAUUCUGGAGAAUUUUAUCUUUGAAAAUCUUUAAAAUAACAUAUCAUGAGUUCCUGUAUGAUGAGAGUUUAAAAUCCUACCACAACCAUAUAUACAUGCUUAUUAGACUUUGAGCCACACAUUUACUUUUUACUGCUUAUGAGCAUUGAGUGUGGUCAAGCUGUGUAGAACCUUAGGAGCUUGUCAUGUGGUUAAAAUCAAGAUUCACUUGCACGUUCACUCAUACAUGCUACUUCUACUCCGGAAGUACCAUCCACAUAUAUCCACUCAUUUCCAUAUCCAGAUUCACCCAAAAUUAUUCUACUCCUAAUCCGGGAGAGAAUAGCCAAAAAUAUUUUCCUAUCCCUGUUAUUCCCUAUGAAAUAAAUGCUCCAGUUAUUUUGGUUACUACCACUUGCUACAUUCUUUCAGGAGAUGAGUGCUCUAAAAAAAAAUAAAAAAAAAGAAGAGAAAAAAAAAUAAUACGAGGAAACAAAAAGGGGCAAGUGCCCGGAACCUCGAAGAAAAGAAAAAGUGAGAUGAGAGGUAAAAAUGGACAAGUGUCCGACAGUAGAAUUAGGGGUACAAGAUACCCACCUGAGAGGAAAGAAAAAGAAAAUAUAGAGCAUCUCAUUCUCCCCAAAAAGCUUCAAAGUGCAAGAAAGGUAUGUAUCCCCUUAAAAGAAAAAAAAAUAGAAUUAGACUUUCACCAUUGUUAUCACCAUCAUCACCAUACACCAUUCAUUCGCCACACAUUGCACAUCUUGAUUUGACUUAUUGACUUGUUUCUCUGGAUCCAUGGUAUGACUAUGCAAUAAAUGUCUUGUAAGUAUGUAUUAGCUCUCCCACCUAUGAGCUCCAGAUAUCAAAACCUUAUUAGAGUAGUGUGAGAGAGAAGGCAAUAUCACUAUGCCUCAUACCACAAAUACUACAUACUUUGAGAGAAGGCAUAUAUCAUUACUGCCUUGGUAAGGAUCCAGAAAUACCACAAAAGAGAGAUUUGAGAGAGUCAUAUAAGGAAUCUCUGAGUUUUAUUUGAAAAUCUGCAAAAACUCCAGAGCUAUAGCUGAUCAAGAUAAGAGACAUGGCGCUUGACUUGACCGUUCUAUUUUUUAACUUCUCAAGACACAAGUGAUGGUUACAAGCCCCAUGGUAAAAGGUAAAAUGAGUAAGUUUUAAGUCUUAACAGUUUAUUCUAACUCAGAGAUGAGAUCUUGCUUGAAUGUCUGUGUACUUUUAAGGCAUGAAACCACUACAGAAACUCUUGAGUUCAUCCUUGCUCAGGGACGAGCAAGAGGUAAGCUUGGGGGAGUUGUUGACGGUCCUUAAGUACCAAAUAUAAUCAUCAAAUAAAUAAAGAAAAGGAUCCAAAUGCAACCAACCCAUAGACUUAGGGUUUCAUCUCACAGAAUUCCACGAGUUUUGGUGUUUGUCUAUUUCUGCAGGGGGUUAUCAGGAAAUAUGGAAGAAAGGCCCACAUGUCGGGAUUACAUAGAGAUAUCAACGCACCGCAUAAUUUUCUACCAUCUAGAAGACUCCAGAAGCCAUGGGAAGAAAGCAGAGGCCGAAAGGGGCCAAGCCCAGGGCGCCCGCCCUAAGGACCUGGGCGCCCGCCCUGUCCUGGACUCCGUUCGGGACUCUCUUCGCACACGAUGUUCCACCGACCUAAAGGAUCAAGGAUAAUGUAGUACCACAUCGCCUACCGACCAAAAAACACAUAGAGGAGGAGGACUAUAUAAGGAGACCCCCCUGGCCCCUGGAGAAGACAAGAAGUUAUCAUAGAGAUUGAGGGGUGCCCUCGAAGGAAAACCUCUUCUCUAAAUAAUAUUUCUUUUUAGGCUUAGCAACCAAUGUAAGUAGAAAUAGAUCUUCUAGUUUCUACUAGAUUGAGAGAGAUAGAUUGGAG